rnacentral:lncRNA from 1 species
CACAUCCACAUACAUCCACUCAUUUCCAUCUCCAGAUACACCCAAAAUUAUUCUACUCCUAUCCAGGAGAGAAUAGCCAAAAACAUUAUCCAAUUCCUGUUAUUCCCUGAGAAGUAAAUGCUCGAGAUAUUUUGGUUACUACCACUUGCUACAUUAUUUCAGGAGAUGAGUGCUCUAAAAAAAAGAGAUACGAGGAAAUAAAAAGGGGCAAGUGCCCGGAACCUCGAAAGAAAAGAAAAAGUGAGACGAGAGGUAAAAAUGGACAAGUGUCCGACAGUAGAAUUAGGGGUACAAGAUACCCACCUGAGAGAUAAAAAAAGAGAAAAUAUUGAGUAUCUCAUUCCCCUCAAAAAGCUUCAAAGUGCAAGAAAGGUAUGUAUCCCCUCAAAAGAGCAAGCGUAGAAUUAGACUUUCACCAUUGUUUUCACCAUCAUCACCAUACACCAUUCAUUCGCCACACAUGCACAUCUUGAUUUGACUUAUUGACUCGUUUCUCUGGAUCCAUGGUUUGACUAAGCAAUAAAUGUCUUGUAAGUAUGUAUUAGCUGUCUCCCACCUAUGAGCUCCAGAUAUCAAAACCUUAUUAGAGUAGGGUGAGAGAGAAGGCAAUGUCACUAUGCCUCAUACCAAAAAUACCACAUACCUUGAGAGAAGGCAUAUAUCAUCACUGCCCUGGUAAGGAUCCAGAAAUACCACAAAAGAGAGACUAGAGAGAGUCAUACAGGAAUCUCUGAGUUUUAUUUGAAAAUCUACAAAAACUCCAGAGCUAUAGUUGAUCAAAGAACAAGAGACAUGGUGCUUGACUUGACCGUUCUAUCUUUUAACUGCUCAAGACACAAGUGACGGUUGCAGGCCCCAUGGUGGAAGGUAAUAUGAGUAAUUUUAAAUCUUAAUAGUUUACCGUAACCCAGAGAUGAGAUUUUGUUUAAACGCAUGUGUACCUUUAAGGCAUAAAACCACUAUAGAAACUCUUGAGUCCAUCCUUGCUCAGGGACGAGCAAGAGGUAAGCUUGGGGGAGUUGUUGAUGGUCCUUAAGUACCAAAUAUAAUCAUCAAAUAAAUAAAGAAAAGGAUCCAAAUGCAACCAACACCCAGACUUAGGGUUUUAUCUGACAGAAUUCCAUGAGUUUUUGUGUUUGUCUAUUUCUACAGGGGGUUAUCAGGAAAUAUGGAGGAAAGCGCCACACGUCGGGUUUACAUAGAGAUAUUAAUGUGCCACGCAAUUUUCUAUCAUCUAGAAGACUCCAGAAGCCACGGGAACGAAUGGGAGGCCGAGCGGGCUUGGGGGUAGGGUGCCCGCCCUCCCCCCUUGGGCGCCCGCCCUGUCCCAGAGUCCAAUCAGGACCCACUUCGGGGAUUAUGCUCCACCGACCUAAAGGAUUAAGAAUAACCGUUCAAUCAAUGUCGGUUUGAUCCGAUGACCUAGAUUCACUUCAGGGGACUAUAUAUCCAGACCCCUGGCCCCUGGAGGAGGCACCCCUUGAUCAUUAUUCAUUAUUCAUAGACAGAGCAAAAGCUAGGGUUUGGAGAUGAGAGCUCUCCUCUCUUCUCUAAACUAGAGUAGAUCUAGAUAGUAGCAAGAUGAAGAGCGAAGGAGGAUUAGAGGAGAGGCCGGCCUGUCGGUUCUUCCUCCGGUUAUACUUCGCCAUGAUCAAGCUCUAAUCAAGCUUGCUCAUGGGAUGACUCUGGUAAUCUACUUCUAAUUCAUUAUGCAAUUACUAAUCAUGUAUGUUCUGGUUCACAGCUCUUUUGAGUACUUCUAAUCUAUAGGACCCUAUAGGUUAGAGUUGUAGUAUAGGUGUAAGCGUGGUGCUUAGACCUAGAUUACUUGUGGAUAUCCCCUAUCUAGCUGGAUCAUGUGGUAGGCCGCGUAGGUGACAGUUACGUUGGUCCCCUGUAGUCCACCUCCUGUUAGCAGGACGGGUAGGGUUUAUCGGCCAAUGGAUAAGCAUCCUUUGUGGUGUAUUCUUGUCACGUGGUUCGUCCCAGACAUAGACAUACCCCUUUGAAAUAGAGACACCAUAGUUAUCCUCUCUAUUCUGCUACCAUCGCCCAUAUACUAGAUUGCUCUACUCUCUAUUCCCAUAUUAUCAUCCAUUGUUAUCUUUCCUUUAAUAUUGUUCUUAUUCAAUUCUACUAUCUUUCCUAUUUACACUUAUCUAUCUUGGUUAAGUUAGAGCAUAGUUGGUUCUCUUGUUUCCCUGUGGAUACGAUAAAACCUUUAACUGGGCAAAAGCUACAUCGGUAUCCAUGCGCUUGCGGAUUAUCUGUGUGCGUAUAAAUACCAUAGUACACUCUAGUGCCAUGCUGGGGAUGACAACCUAGUAUUCAAGUGGUGUUAGCAAGUGUCAACAAGCAUUUUUGGCGUCGUUGCCGGGAAAAUGGUUGCUGAGUUGACUACAAACUUGCUUAGUCAUUUUCUAAAAAAAUAAAAAAUAUAUAUUUUUCCUUUUAUCUUUUGCCUUAUCUCUGCUAUUCUUUCUUCUUAUCUAACCCUUGAUCUCUGGUCUAUCAUGAAUUCAAACAUGUCUAUCUAUGAAUUUCAUAGACCUACGGGCACACAUCUCGAACCACCAAAAUCUUCAAAGCCUAUCAUAACAUCUAGUUUUGAGAUAGACCCCGAAUACAUAGAAUUUGUUCAAAAACAACCUUUCUUAGGAGAAGGUGAGGAAAACCUAUACACACACCUAAGAGAGUUUAUCGAGUAUGUGACCUCCUUCUCAUAGAAGGCAUGUCCGAUGAGAACCUUAAAUGGAAGCUCUUUUCGUUCUCUUUAACAGGAAAAGCUAGACAUUGGUACAAACUCAAAGUAGGGAGUGUUCAUGGAGAUUGGAAGGAGUUACAUAAUAGUUUUCUUUUAAAAUAUUUUCCAAUCUCUAAAGUGGCGGAACUUCAGCGUGAGAUUAUUUCUUUUAGACAACUAGAAGAAAAAUCUCUUGGCAAAUCAUGGGACCGCUUUAUUAACCUUACUCUCACUGGCCCAAAGCUUUCUAUUCCACAAGAAGUUCUUCUAGUUCACUUUUUUGAGGGUCUUAUUAGGGAAAAUAAGCAAACCUUGAAUACAGCCUCCGGAGGAUCUUUCCACCACCUAUCCGCUAGUGAAGCUUGGAAUUUGAUUGAUUUAAUGAGCGGAAAGUCUCCUAGCUUUUAUAUCCCUGAGAAAGAGAAAGAACCAGUUCCUAGACAAGAAGAAGAAGUUUCGAUAGCCUGAUCACAACCACUUCAAUCCCAAACUUUAGCUAUCGAUCCUAAACCAUCAAUACCCCAAAAUUCUCCAAGGGAGGAAGGAAUUCCGACCUUAAAUCUUUCAGAUACUGAUGGUUUAGACUUCUGGUUCCAUAAGAGACCUUCAAGCAGGGAUAAUUCAAAUCCUUGCAAUAAUGUUUCCCUUAGAGAAUGCCAUGGUUCCUUUUAUGAAGAAGUCGAGGAUGAUAUAUCAAGUGAAGGAGAGCUAAGCCAUACAGAAAAUUCGAACACCUACCCUUUCCUGAUCACAAGUUCUAAAUGGCUAGAAUGUGUAGAAUGGAUGGAUAAGGAAGAAGCCUUAAUGGAUUCUGACUUUGGCUCAAUUUCAAAUGAUGAGUUCUUGACUCCCUUUGAAGAUGAGAUUCAUCCAACUAUAGAAGAGGACAUAAGUGAGACCAAUCUAGGAUAAACUCCGAACAUUUAGAUUGGAGACGAAGAUAACAUUAAUGAGCAUGGAAUUUAUUUCAUAGCCACUUCAUUUACUCCAUGCUCAUAUGCAACAUCUUCCCAAUCCAUUGGUUUUUCCAACAUCACCACAUUCGAGAUCUCAACCCCCUCAUCCUUUCUAUUUAUAAAAAUUUUAAAAGGGCGGUUAUCGAUGCAUAUGUCUAUAUUAAAUAUUGCAGAUCUUGUUGAGUUGAUCUUGAUAUAGGUCAGCGUUAGAGGGGAAACCACUUCGCCGACAUAAAUUGAUGGUUUCCCAAGGACAAGCUUAGUGUCCUAAAAUAAGCGUUGUUUAGAUCAUAACAUGAGCUUUUAAUUAUUUGCAACAUUACCUUGUGUAUUGAGCAUAUAAGGAUAAUUGUAAAACAAAUUCCUUCGGGUAUUCUUGUCACUAACCUUUCCAAGAUUGGAGCAAGAAGAUCGGAUGAAUGACAAGCACAAGGUAUGUCCAACCAAUCAUCAUACAACAUUGAAUUAAAUUCAUCCAAACUUGAAUUUUGCAAAAUUCAAGCUUGGGGGAGUACUUUACAUAAAAAUAUCCUUUGUCAUGUUGCUAUCUUGGUUGUCCCUACCUUUGAGACAUGCUCAAUUUGUUAAAUACUAAUCACACUACUUCGUCUCCACUUGUGUAGAACUUUAUAAAUGCUCUCAUGCUACCUUUAUUUGCUUUAGUAUAUGUCUAGGUUUGGAGUAGUUUCAUUUAUCUCUUAAUUAAACAUGGUGCUUAGUUUAGGGCUGAUGAUCUUACUUCCAAGGGAGUUUACAUUAAGCAUGAUGCUUAGGUUAAAAUGCCCUUCUAAAUCAAAUUAGACAUGGUGUCUAGGUUGAUUUCUGAGCCGAUAGUAUGUUAUAGUAGAUAUGGGAUAUUUUGUUGGACUAACCCCUGCAGGAAAACUUUCAAAUAUCGACCUGGAAAGUCCAGAGAUAAACUCACAUUGGAGACAAAGAGAGAGACACAUGAAGGUUAACAAUUUACACAAGGAAGGCAUAGCUCACAAGAGAUGAUCCAUGGAGGGUGCUACAAACACGAUGCAUAACUGCUAAGAAAGGAAAGCUUCCACAAGGUGAUACUGUACCAUCACUCUUCAAGUAAGGUACACUUCGAGCAAAAUAUGAAGGAGUUUUACAACUCCCAGACUCCACCAAGUGAAGAACCUAGAUCUAUGAGCACAAACACACUGGAGAUACUAGACACUCAGGCAAUCACUGCUCUGAGAUGCUUGAGGAUGUAAACUACAUCAACAACAACAACUACUACUACAACCGUCCUCAACAAAAUCAAGGUUGGAAUCAACAGAGGCCUAACUACGCAGAGAGGCGAUCCAGGACGCCCCGUCAUCCCGAUCUCCAUCAGCAUGGUGGACUUCCUAGAAGCACUCUGCGACUUUGGCUCCAGUGUCAACAUUAUGCCCAGGGUACUCUAUGAAAAAUUCUUUACACAUCCUUUACUAGAAACAACCAUGUGUUUGCAGCUUGUAGAUCGGACACUAAGUUUCCCAAAGGGAAUAUUGAAGAACCUCUACGUCCGAGUUGGUACCUUAUACACCCCAGCAGACUUCGUGGUGAUAGAGACUGGUACUGAUGAGAGGGCACCCAUCAUCCAAGGGAGGCCAUUCCUGAACACCUCAGGAGCUAUCAUCUAAACUAAGAUCAGUUUCUACAUCAAGGGGAGGAAGGAGACGUUUUUCUUUCAAGAACAAGACUACACAAAUCCCAGAGCAAUCCUGACAUGAACCAAGGAAGAGGACCAACAGGAGGAACAGAAACAAGCAAAUGUGGACCGAGUCAGCUAAGAUGGUCACUGCAGUUCAAGGAAGUCAAGAUCGUCGACUUAAGUCACCGUUCCUAACCAAAAAGGAUGACCCGGUCACCUAUCAGCUCCUAUUCGGAACCAUGCCCCUAAAACCGAGAUACAUUCAGCUCCAGAUGGCAGAUCAGACAUUCCGGGAGGUUGAAGUUAUUGACAUAGGAGAAGACGAGUACGGUCCACCCAUCAUCCUUAAGAGACCGCUCCUCAGCAAUGUUAAAGCAAUCAUCUACAUUGGAACCAGAGGAGUCCACAUGCAUUUCCCCUCUAAGAAGGUACGCUGCUAUUUUACUGACCCUAACCAUAUAGUUGAAGACUCUAAGUAGGUCAGGACAAGAAGAAGACGACGCAACCGCAGUCAGAGAAGGCAAAUCAUCAAGGACAGAUGGGCAGAUUACGAAGGAGAAGUGGUAAUAUCUGAAGGCAUACUGCUUGAACAGAACUGUCCUGAGGAGACCGUAGCACCGAGUGAGGUGUGGAGAGAGAAGAUAGUUAUACACGAAGAAGAAGCGCCGCCGGAACCACCGACUACGGCACCCAAUGAAUCCCAGGACGACUGAGAAAACGGAGAGUCCAGUUCGGAGGACUUAAAAACACCGAACUCCUUGCCAAGAGGUAAACUUGGUAGUUAUCCUUUUCCCUUUCAAUUAUUUAAAAUAGUUUGCUUAGUUAAUCUGGUUCAUAUCAUCUUGAAAAGAAAAUAAAAAUGUUAAAAAUAGUAAGCCCCAUGUGAAUAUGCUCAUGGCAUAAAACCCAUAAGUACAUUCACUGUGGUGGCGUAAGAAUAAAAUAAAUAUAUUCAUGUCCUAUAAAAACGAAAAUAUAAAAAUAAAUUUAUGAUCCUACCAAAGUGAGUAACAUUUAUUGAGGAGGCUCUACAUGAUAAAGGCUAGAUAUUUAUGCUAACACUUAACUAGUUCCACAAAGCUUUGUUGUCUAUUUGAGCUCCAUAGAAUUCAAGGAUCAAAGAAGACUGGCAGACGGAGGACAUCCUAACUGCUAUCAGGGUGCUGCCGACAUUCAAGUACACCUCCGCCACCUGCUAACUACAUCAGAAGAAAUUAUGUCAAAAUCCAGCUUGGGGGAGAGCACCCCCAUUUAUCCAGCUAAGUGUUCUACUCACGUUUAUAUUUUCCUCAAAUAUAAAAAAGAUGCAUAAUCAUAAAAACCCAAAUAAAGAUUUUGUGCUUAUAUAUAUAUCUUUGCUUAGUUUGCUAAAUAAAUAAAUAAAUAAAAUUUUCUAUGAACCCUCGUGAUAAGCUCUCAUAUGGAAAUGAUGAAUAGUUGCUCUGCCAUGACUAGUUCUAAAAAUUGAAAUCUCUCUCAAGUUUAGGCAUGACUGUUAUUAAUUAAGAUUUGUCCUAACCUGAACUUGUGGGAAGAGUACUUGAUCUAAAGUAUAAGUUGUUAACGGAUAUGAUAUGGGAAGGUUGAGUUGUUGUUUAUCUGUUCCUAGAGAUGCUAGAAUUCUGGAGAAUUUUAUCUUUGAAAUUCUUUAAAUUGUUACAUGAUGAGUUCCUAUAUGAUGAGAGUUUAAAUUUCUACCACAGCCAUAUAUACAUGCUUGCUAGACUUUGAGCGACACAUUUAUUUUUUACUGCUUAUGAGCAUUGAGUGUGGUCAAGCUGUGUAGACCCUUAGGAGCUUAUCAUUUGGUUAAGUCAAGAUUCACUUGCACGUUCACUCACACAUGCUGCUUCUACUCCGGAAGUACGCAUCCACAUAUAUCCACCCAUUUCCAUAUCCAGAACCACCCAAAAAUAUUCUACUCCUAAUCCGGGAGAGAAUAGCCAAAAGCAUUCUCCUAUUUCUGUUUCUCCUGUGAAAUAAAUGCUCAAGUUAUUUUGGUUACUACCACUUGCUACAUUAUUCUAAGAGAUGAGUGCUCUAAAAAAAGAGGAGAAAAAAGAUACAAGGAAAUAAAAAGGGGCAAGUGCCCGAAACCUCGAAGAAAAGAAAAAAAUGAGACAAGAGGUAAAAAUGGACAAGUGUACGACAGUAGAAUUAGGGGUACAUGAUACCCACCUAAGAGAAAAGAAAAAGAAAACAUAGAGCAUCUCAUUCACCUCAAAAAGUUUCAAAAGAGCAAGAAAGGUAUGUAUCCCCUCAAAAGAGCAAAAGUAGAAUUAGACUUUCACCAUUGUUAUCACCAUCAUCACCAUACACCAUUCAUUCGCCACACAUGCACAUCUUGAUUUGACUUAUUGACUUGUUCUUCUGGAUCCAUGGUUUGACUAUGCAAUAAAUGUCUUGUCAGUAUGUAUUAGCUGUCUCCUACCUAUGAGCCCCAGAUACCAAAAGCCAUAUUAGAAGUAGAAUGAGAGAGAAGGCAAUGACACUAUGCUUCAUACCACAAAUACUACAUAUUUUGAGAGAAGGCAUAUACCAUCACUGCUUUGGUAAGGAUCCAAAAAUACCACAAAAGAGAGACUAGAGAGAGUCAUACAAGGAAUCUCUGAGUUUUAUUUGAAAAUCUACAAAAACUCCAGAGCUAUAGCUGAUCAAGAAUAAGAGACAUGGUGCUUGACUAGACCGUUCUAUCUUUUAACUGCUCAAGACAGAAGUGACAGUUACAAGUCCCAUGGUAAAAGGUAAAACAAGUAAGUUUUUAGUCUUGAAAGUUUACCCUAACCUAGAGAUGAGAUCUUGUUUGAACGCAUGUGUAUGUUUAAGUCAUGAAACCACUGUAGAAAUUCUUGAGUUAAUCUUUGCUCCGGGACGAGCAAAGGUUAAGCUUGGGGGAGCUUGUUGACGGUCCUUAAUGCUCACAUUUAACCAUCAACUAAUCAUGGAAAAGGAUCCAAAUGCAACCAACACCUAAACUUAGGGUUUUAUCUGACAGAAUUCUACGAGUUUUGGUGUUUGUCUAUUUCUACAGGGGGUUAUCAGGAAAUAUGGAGGAAAGGCCCACACGUCGGGAUGACAUAGAGAUAUUAACGUGCCGCACAAUUUUCUAUCAUCUAGAAGACUCUAGAAGCCACGAGACCGAAGCGAAGGCUGAGAGGGCUCAGGGACAGGGCGCCCGCCCACUUGUGUUGCCCAAUCAGAGUCCAAUUCAGGGAUAUUGCUCCACCGACCUAAUGGAUCAAGGAUAACCGUUCAAUCAAUGUCGGUUUCAUCCAACGGCCCAGAUUCAUUUGAAAAGACUAUAUAAACAAGGCCCCCUAGCCCCUAGAGAUCAUACCUCUUCUACAGAAUCAAAGCUAGGGUUUCAAUUCUUCAUCCAAGUAGAGAGGAUCCCUAUAGUUCUUCUAGUUCUACCUCUAGUUCAUCUAGAUCUAGUUCUAGUUCAACUAGUUCUAGUUCUAGUUCCUCUAGUUCUAAUUCUAGUUAGUUCUAGUUGUAAUCUAGAAAAUAGGGAGAGAGAAGAGGAGAGCAGAGGAGGAGGAGCCGGAUCUGUCGGAUCUUCCUCAACAUUGUACUUUUGCAGCAACUGGUUCGUUCUUCAUCGUUCUCCACGUUCUUCAAUUCAUAAUUCUUGAGUUCUUUAAUUACUUUUAUUUACAUUCAAGUUAUUUACUGGAUUCCCGCUUGCAUCAAGUGAUCUAAUCUUUGAAACAUUAGAGUAGUAAUUAAUAGAUUAGACGUGUUGUUUAGUCUUGCAAUUACCUGGAAUUGCACCCAAUCCUGUGGAUUGUUGUGGUAGCCCGUGGGUAGUGACAGCCCUAGCGGUCGACGUAUUCCACCUCGUUCGAAUCGGUGUUUGUAGGACCGUAGUGAGACCUUCCUAGCCCCCUUCUCAUCUCUUUCUGUGGUUAGUGCUCUAAUGUCCCGAAAUAGAUAAUCUUGAAGUAAUUCUUGAUUCUUAGAUCAACUAAGAGAAAUCUCAAGAAACUUCCUCUCUUUCCACCAAAAAUAAUUAUAUAGUUAUCCUUGGGCGAUCUUGGAUCUUAAUUAGUACACUCACGUUCUCUGUGGAAAAUCGAUACUCUGGAAUACUCCGGGUGAAAGCUACAUCGGUAUCCGUGCGCUUGCGGAUUUUUCUGUUUGCGUUUAAAAUACCCAACAGCUAAGAAACCAUUUUAGACGCACCCGAUGAUGGUACUCGUAGUUGAAGAGGCUCAAGUGGAGGCUCGAUUUGGUCUGUUCAGAUAUAGUGCUAAUCUUGAUGCAAGAUAGUUGCACAGUUUGCAUGCAACGUACCAUAUGUUAAGAAAUUAAUUUGGACGCACCCAAUGGAACUCCUAGAUGAUGUGUGUCAUAUGGAAUCUUGCUUUGGUCUGUUUGGAGACAAUGUUAGUUUCAGUGCAAGAUAGGUGCAUAGUUUGUGUGUAAUGCACCAUAGUCUAAGAAAGCAUUUUUGACACACCUGUUUGUACUCCAAGAUGAAGAGGCUCAAGUGGAAGCUCGGUUCGGUCUGUUUGGAGAUAGUGCUAAUCUUGAUGCAAGAUAGGUGCAAGGUUUGCAUGGAACAUUCCAUAUGCUUGGAAAUCAAUUUGGAUGCACCCGAUGGAACUCCUUGAUAACGUGUGUCAUAUGGAAUCUCACUUUGGUCUGUUUAGAAAUAGUGUUAGUUUCGAUGCAACAUAUGUGCAUGGCUUGCGCCUAAUGCACCAUAGUCUAAGAAAUCAUUUUGGAAGCACCUGUUGCUACUUCGGUGAAGAGGCUCAAGUGGAAGCUCGGUUUGAUAUGUUUCGAGAUAGUGUUAAUCUUGAUGCAAGAUAGGUGCAUGAUUUGCACGAAACAUACGAUAUGCUUAGAAAUCAAUUUGGACGCACCCAAUAGAACUCCUAGAUGAUGUACGUCAUAUGGAAUCCUUCUUUGAUCCAUUUGUAGACAUUGUAAGUUUUAGUGCAAGAUAGGUGCAUAGUUUGCGCCUAAAGCACCAUAGUCUAAGAAACCAUUUUGGAUGCACUAUUUGGUACCCUUGGGUGAAGAGGCUCAAGUGGAAGCUUGGUUCGGUCAGUUUGGAGAUAGUGCUAAUCCUUAUGCAAGGCAGGUGCAUGGUUUGCAUGGAACAUACCAUAUGCUUGAAAAUCAAUUUGGAUGCACCCGAUGGAACUCCUUGACGACGUGUGUCAUAUGGAAUCUCGCUUUGGUCCAUUUGGAGACAUUGUUAGUUUCGGUGCAAAAUAGGUGCACAGUUUGCCCGUAAUGCACCAUAGUCUAAGAAACCAUUUUGGACGCACUUGUUGGUACUCUUUGGUGAAGGGGCUCAAGUGGAUGCUAGGUUUGGUCUGUUUUUAGAUAGUGCUAAUCUUGAUGCAAGAUAGGUGCAUGUUUUGCAUGGAACAUACCAUAUGCUUGGAAGACAAUUUGGAUGCACCCAAUGGAACUCCUUGAUGACGUGUGUCAUAUGGAAUCUCACUUUGGUCUGUUUAGAAAUAGUGUUUGUUUCAGUGCAAGAUAUGUGCAUGGUUUGCGCCUAAUGCACCAUAGUCUAAGAAACCAUUUUGGAAGCAUCUGUUGGUACUUCAGCGAAGAGGCUCAAGUGGAAGCUCGGUUUGAUCUGUUUGGAGAUAGUGCUAAUCUUGAUGCAAGAUAGGUGCAUGAUUUGCAAGGAACAUACCAUAUGCUUAGAAAUCAAUUUGGACGCACCCAAUGGAACUCCUAGAUGGCGCGUGUCAUAUGGAAUCUUGCUUCGGACCAUUUGGAGACAUUGUUAGUUUCGGUGCAAGAUAGGUGCACAGUUUGCACCUAAUGCACCAUAGUCUAAGAAACCAUUUUGGACGCACUUGUUGGUACUCCUAGGUGAAGGGGCUCAAGUGGAAGCUCGGUUCAGUCUGUUUGGAGAUAAUGCUAAUCUUGUUGCAAGAUAGAUGCAUGGUUUUCAUGUAACAUACAAUAUGCACAGAAAUCAAUUAGGACGCACCUGAUAUAACUCCUUGAUGAUUUGUGUCAUAUGGAACCUUGUUUCGAUUCGUUUAGAGACAGUGUUAGUUUUCGUAGAAGAUAUGUGCACCGUUUACGCCUAAUGCACCAUAGGCUAAGAAACCAUUUUAGACGCACCCGAUGGUACUCGUAGUUGAAGAGGCUCAAGUGGAGGCUCGAUUUGGUGUUUUCAGAUAUAGUGCUAAUCUUGUGCAAGAUAGUUGCCCAGUUUGCAUGCAACGUACCAUAUGUUAAGAAUUCAAUUUGGACGCACCCAAUGGAACUCCUAGAUGACGUGUGUCAUAUGGAAUCUCGCUUCGGUCUGUUUGGAGACAAUGUUAGUUUUGGUGCAAGAUAGGUGCAUAGUUUGUGCCUAAUGCACCAUAGUCUAAGAAACCAUUUUUGACACACCUGUUUGUACUCCUAGAUGAAGAGGCUCAGGAGGAAGCUCGGUUCGGUCUGUUUGGAGAUAGUGCUAAUCUUGAUACAAGAUAGGUGCACGGUUUGCAUGGAACAUACCAUAUGCUUGGAAAUCAAUUUGGAUGCACCCGAUGGAACUCCUUGAUGACAUGUGUCAUAUGGAAUAUCACUUUGGUCUGUUUAGAAAUAGUGUUAGUUUUGGUGCAAGAUAUGUGCAUGGUUUGCGCCUAAUGCACCAUAGUCUAAGAAACCAUUUUGGAAGCACCUGUAGGUACUUUGGUGAAGAGGCUCAAGUGGAAGCCCGGUUUGAUAUGUUUAGAGAUAGUGCUAAUCUUGAUGCAAGAUAGGUGCAUGAUUUGCAAGGAACAUACCAAAUGCUUAGAAAUCGAUUUGGACGCACCCAAUGGAACUCCUAGAUGACGUGUGUAAUAUGGAAUCUUGCAUCGGUCCGUUUGUAGACAUUGUAAGUUUUAGUGCAAGAUAGGUGCACAGUUUGCGCCUAAUGCACCAUAUGUCGAGGGUAUCAAUAAGGGGUACCCUCACUGAUGCACGUAAUGAGACUAUCCGUAUGCACGACGAGGCCCUCGACUCGACGCUCUGGCCGUACACAUGCGCAGCCAUCGACGGCCGUAGCCUCGAAGACGGAAAUAGCGUCGAACGAAUCGAUCAGGGGUCGACCGCUAGCUACCAUCGAAUACAGGAGCGGGCUCGAGCGAAACGGAAAGCGUCGAGCGCAGGGACACUGUCCGCCGCCUGACGCGCGCACGAGAGCCUGGGUAUUUAAUGCACCUGCCGUUUUCCCACCUAACACACUGGUCACAGGAAGCGUGAUAGGAAAAGGGCAUCCAUCCCAUCGUUCUUUUUGCAGCCUUCCCCGCCGAACGUCCCAGGAUGUGUCAGGACGCGGGAAACAAGGAUGGAACGUCUAAUCGGGACCCCCUCGAGACAUCCAUGGUCAGCGCUCCGGAUAUCAGCACGUUACACGGCGUCCGACCCCCGACCAGACAGGGUUCCUUCCUGGGGACGAGUUGGGCGUCGACUGACUACAUCUCAACCACUCCGCCGGAUUUGCCGCCAUAUCGUACAGGCGUGCGACCGGUAAACCAGUCCAAGACGGCGCGCAGAGCAGAAUGCAGGGGCACGCGUAAUCAUCACCAGGCUAUCCAGACGGGACGGCUCGAGGCCAUGCCGGUACGGAAGCCUCAAGUAGGUCAGCGCUCCAUGUUGCUAUCGACCCCUACUCUGACAUCUACGCAUGUACCCUAGGUCUCUCCUUGGAGCUAUAAAAGGAGGGACUCAGGAAUAGAACGGGCAGGGACACUACGCCCAUACGCAGUAGAACUCCCAUACUUCAUACCACGCUUGUAUUCACCCCUGUACAAGCACUUAGGUGCAAGAUAAUACGAACCUCCCUCCCCCGCUGGACGUAGGGCCUUCUCUUGCCCGAACCAGGAUAAAUCUUUGUGUCUUCUUGCAUCACCAUCUGGGAAAGGGAGCACGCAUACUAAUUUACUCGUUGACGUGACCCCCCAGGGGGAAAACGCCGACAGUUGGCGCGCCAGGUAGGGGUCCUGCGUGUUUUUCAUCGAUUUCCCACUCCUUUCCAGAUGGCUGCUCUCGCCUCGCCGAUUCCGCGCUCCACGGUGAUUUGGUUUGGGAGUCUCGAGUUCAUGUCUACGGGCUCCGGCUACGAUAUGAUCUUGCUCUCAGUCAAAGGACCAGGAGGAACCCGUGUUGCACCAACACGGUCGAGGGCCCCGAGACGCCCUCGCCACCACGCCUCCCCGCCCAAGAAGAGGCGCGGACAGCAUCACCGCCGCUCCUCUGCUUCAUCACGACCGACAACUCGUGCGAGGCAGGAGGUGGGCCACGAGCCGGUAGCACCUUAUGCCGGAACCACGGGCAUGACGGCUCAGCACGGCACGACGACGGGAGGGGACGUGUCUCGCGCGCCCUCCCCCACCGCCGCUAAGCCACUUCCACACGGGUUGGCACUGCCAUUCGGAUUGGACAACGCCGCGGCGUCGCUCGCCAGAGCAAUAUGCCCAAACUCCCAGACGUACGUAGAGAGACCAAUGGUCCUCCCACGUAACUCCCGGGCCCAUGGUGCUCAGCAGGGCAAUCCGCAGCACACCCCUGCCCAGUCCAUUCCGACCCCCGACCAGCAUCGUGAAAUACAAUGGUGAGACCAAACCAGAAUUAUGGCUGGCCGAUUUUAGGCUGGCCUGUCAGCUAGGUGGCGCUCGAGGUGAUGAUCGAGCCAUCAUCAGACACCUACCGCUCUUCCUCUCCGACACCGCCCGUCGAUGGCUCGAGGAACUUCCAGCAAAUCAGAUUCACGACUGGGUCGAUUUGGUUAAAGUUUUCGAGGGUAAUUUCAAAGGGACCUACAUACGGCCCGGGAACUCGUGGGACCUCAUCAAAUGCAAGCAGAAGUCAGGAGAAACUCUUCGAGAGUAUGCUCGACGCUUCUCGAAGCAGCGCACUGAGCUGCCACAUAUCCCUGACCAUGACGUCAUCCUGGCUUUUGUCUCUGGUACCACCAGUCGAGACUUAGUGCGGGAACUGGGCCGAAAUCGCCCUCAGACCGUCGAUGAGCUGAUGGACGUAGUGGCGAACUACGCAGCAGGGGAAGAGGUAGUCGGUGCUUUCUUCAGCUGUGAAGGAGGGAAAGGCAAGCGACCUAUCGAUGAAGAUGGAACCCCCAGUUGAGGGCUCAAGAAAAACAAGAAGAAGCAGAAAGCACGGCAGUUGCAACGGGAAGAUUUCGACGACAACCUUGUCGCCGCCAUGGAGCGAAAGAAGCCUCGAGGCCCUCCAGAUGGUGGUAUCUUCGAUAAGAUGCUAGAGGAACCAUGCCCUUACCAUAAGGGAGGUUCCAACCACAAGCUCAAGGACUGUCGCAUGCUGAAAAGGCAUUUCGACGGUCUAGGGUUCAAAAGGGAUGAGCGUGACGACUCGAAGAAGGAGAAGGGCGGCGACAAAGAGGGCAACAAGGAGGACGAUGGCUUCCCCGCCGUCCACGACUGCUACAUGAUCUAUGGUGGGCCUUUGACACAGUUGACCACGAGGCAGCGCAAAAGGGAACGCCGUGAGGUCUUCGCGGCAAGGAUGGCGGUGCCCCAGUACCUCAGCUGGUCGAGCACCCCCAUCACCUUCGAUCGAGAGGACCACCCCGAUAAGGUAGUCGCCCCAGGCAUCUACCCGCUCGUCGUCGACCCUAUCAUCAUCAACACCAGGCUCUCCAAGGUGCUAAUGGACGGAGGCAGCAGCCUCAACAUCAUCUACCUCGAGACCCUCGACCUCCUUGGCAUCGAUAGGGGACGGCUCCAGCCAAGCGCCGGCGGUUUCCAUGGCGUCGUGCCAGGAAAAAAGGCGUUGCCCGUAGGUCGAAUCGACCUACCGGUCUGCUUUGGCACGGCGGCCAACUUUAGGAAGGAGACCCUCACCUUUGAGGUGGUCGGGUUCUGUGGCACGUACCACGCCAUCAUCGGGCGCCCGGGCUACGCCAAGUUCAUGGCCAUACCAACUACACCUACUUGAAGCUGAAGAUGCCCGGUCCCAAAGGCGUCAUCACUGUUAGCUCCUCCUUUGAGCACACUUACGAGUGCGACGUCGAGUGCGUCGAGUAUGGGGAGGCGGUUGAGAACUCCACCGAGCUCGUCACGAAACUCGAAGCCCUGGCCGCUGAGGCUCCAGAGCCCAAGCGCCAUGCGGGCAACUUCGAGCCAGCAGAGGGAACCAAGAAGAUCCCGCUCGACCCCAACAACUCCGACGGCAAGGUGCUGAUGAUCAGCGCCGACCUCGACCCCAAAUAGGAAGCUGUGCUCGUCGACUUUCUCCGUGCGAACGCCGACAUGUUUGCAUGGAGUCCCUCGGACAUGCCGGGCAUACCGAGGGAAGCCGCCGAGCACUCCUUGGAAAUUGGAGCCGGUUCCAAGCCAGUGAAGCAGCGGUUGUGCCGAUUUGACGAGGAGAAGCGCAAGAUCAUUGGCGAGGAAAUCCACAAGCUUUUGACAGCCAGAUUCAUCAAGGAGGUUCAUCAUCCCGACUGGUUAGCAAACCCUGUAUUAGUUAAGAAAAAGAAUGGGAAAAUGAGGAUGUGUGUCGAUUAUACAAGUCUAAAUAAAGCAUGUCCGAAAGUCCCUUUUCCAUUACCACGUAUUGAUCAGAUUGUCGAUUCUACUGCGGGAUGUGAAACCCUUUCUUUCCUUGAUGCGUAUUCUGGUUACCAUCAAAUAAAAAUGAAAGAGUGCGACCAGCUCGCGACCUCUUUCAUCACACCUUUUGGGAUGUAUUGCUAUGUAACCAUGCCAUUUGGGCUUCGAAACGCGGGAGCCACGUACCAACGCUGCAUGCUCCAUGUAUUUGACAAACACAUAGGAUCGACGGUCGAGGCCUAUGUCGACGACAUUGUCGUCAAAUCGAAAAGGCGAGGAGACCUGGUUCAGGACCUCGCGAUCGCUUUUAGCUGCCUACGCACCAACCAGAACAAGCUUAAUCCCGAGAAAUGCGUCUUCGGCGUGCCUCGAGGCAUGCUCUUGGGUUACAUUGUUUCUCAGCGCGGCAUCGAGGCCAACCCCGAGAAAGUCUCGGCCAUCACAAGAAUGGGGCCGAUCCGAGACAUCAAGGGUGUGCAAAAAGUUACGGGAUGCCUGGCGGCUCUAAGCCGUUUCAUCUCAAGACUAGGAGAAAGGGCGUUACCAUUGUAUCGACUUUUGAAGAAGGUCGAGCGUUUUUCUUGGACCCCCGAGGCCGAGGAAGCUCUUAAAAAGCUGAAGAAAACGCUAACCUCAGCACCAGUCCUAGUCCCACCUCAACCUGCGGAACCACUGCUCCUUUACGUUGCGUCGACGACCCAGGUCGUCAGUGUAGCGGUGGUGGUCGAGAGGCAGGAGGAGGGGCAUGCGCUGCCAGUCCAGAGGCCAGUCUUUUUCGUCAGCGAAGUGCUUUCGGAGACCAAGGCACGUUACCCCCAAAUCCAGAAGCUGAUCUACGCCGUAAUCCUCGCCCGCCGCAAGCUACAGCACUACUUUCUCGGCCACCCCAUCACGGUGGUCUCGUCUUUCCCCUUGGGCGAGAUAAUCCAGAGCAAGGAGGCCACGAGAAGAGUAGCUAAAUGGUCGGUCAAGCUCAUGAGUGAGACUCUCACUUACGCGCCCCGCAAGGCCAUCAAAUCGCAAGCCCUGGUGGACUUCAUCGCGGAAUCGACAGACUCCCAGCUUCCCCCGACUCAGGUCCAGUCUGAGCUGUGGACGAUGUAUUUCGACGGGUCGCUCAUGAAGACGGGGGCCGGGGCCGGCCUGCUGUUCGUCUCGCCCUUGGGCAUCCAUGUGAGGUACGUCAUCAGGAUUCAUUUUGCCUUAUCCAACAAUGUCGUAGAAUACGAGGCCCUCGUCAACGGUCUCAAGAUCGCCAUCGAGCUAGGAGUCCGACGCCUCGACGUCCGAGGUGACUCCCAACUUGUCAUUGACCAAGUGAUGAAGACUUCAAGCUGCCACGACCCAAAAAUGGAGGCGUACUGCAAGGAAGUCCGUCGACUCGAGGGCAAGUUCCAUGGCCUCGAGCUCGUCCAUGUCGCCCGACGCUACAACGAGGCAACCGACGAACUCGCCAAGAUCGCGUCGACCCGAGGCACGGUGCCACCUGACGCGUUCUCAAGAGAUCUCCACGAACCAUCUGUCGACUUGCGCUCGGGGGCUGGCGUCGAUGCCACUCCCACCCAGCCAACCGACACCGUUGACGCACUGCUGAUGGCAGCAGAGGUGAUGGAGGUAGAACAGCGACCAGGUCGACCGUUUGACUGGCGCACACCGUUCCUCGACUGCCUAAUCUGCUAUGAGCUGCUAGAAGAUCGAUCAGAGGCCCGCCGCGUCGCUCGACGGGCCAAGUCAUACGUGAUCUAUGGCGAAGGCAACGAGCUAUAUCGACGAAGCCCGACAGGGGUCUUACAGCAUUGCGUCACCGUAGAAGAAGGCCGAAAACUCCUCGAGGACAUACACUCGGGGGCUUGCGGCCACCAUGCUGCUCCAUGGACCCUCGUGGGGAACGCCUUUCGACAAGGUUUCUACUGGCCAACGGCCAUGGCAGACGCCAUCGAGCUUGUACGCUCAUGUCAUGGGUGCCAGUUCUACGCCAAACAGACGCAUCUACCCACCCACGCUCUUCAGAUGAUCCCCAUCACCUGGCCGUUUGCGGUGGGGGGCUCGAUUUAGUAGGACCUCUACAAAAGGCGAAAGGGGGUUACACCCACCUGCUGGUGGCCAUCGACAAAUUCUCCAAAUGGAUCAAGGCUCGACCCAUCACCAACAUCCGCUCCGAACAAGCCGUCCUCUUUUUCACCGACAUCAUACACCGAUUCGGAAUCCCUAACGUGAUCAUCACCGACAACGGCACCCAGUUCACCGACAAAAAGUUCUUGGACUUCUGCGAUCAGCAUCACAUCCGUGUGAACUGGUCCAUAGUGGCUCACCCUCGAACUAACGGCCAGGUCGAGCGUGCCAACGGCAUGAUCUUGCAGGGGCUCAAACCAAGGAUCUACAAUCGCCUGAAGAAAAUCGGCAAGAAGUGGGUCGAGGAGCUUUCCUCGGUCCUAUGGAGUUUGAGGGCGACGCCAAGCCGGGCCACCAAAUACACCCCGUUCUUCAUGGACUAUGGCUCUGAGGCCGUGCUCCCAACGGACCUCGAGUAUGGAUCUCCUCGACUCAAGGCAUACCACGAGCAGUCAAAUAAGGAAGCUCAAGAGAAUGCAGUCGACCAGCUUGAGGAGGCUCGAGACAUGGCCCUCCUCAACUCCGCUAGAUACCAGCAGAAGCUUCGACGCUACCAUGACAAACAUGUAUGAAAGAGGGACUUGAACGUGGGUGACCUUGUCUUGCGACGACGGCAAAGCAAUCAAGGACGCCACAAGUUGACUCCGCCUUGGGAAGGCCCGUACAUGGUGGCCGAGGUCUUGAAGCCAGGAACGUACAAGUUAGCGGACGAGAAGGGGGCGGUCUUCACCAACGCAUGGAACAUCGAACAGCUACAUCGAUUCUACCCCUAGAAGUUCAAAACUUAUGUUCCUACGCACAUUUUGUACCAAGACUUUGUAAACGAAUGCGUGAAUAAAUGAAGUCUUUCCCUCGAGCAACUUCUUCUUAUACCAAGGCUUUAUAAGUCAUAAUCUUGACGUUAGGAGGAGGUGCCGACUAUGACCCAUCAUAGUCAACACCCCCUCGGGGGCUACCAGGGGGACGACCCCCCCCCAAGCGUUGAAAAAGCAAAGAAAUUUUCUCUUCUUACUUAGUAAACCUUGCACGACUCAAGUAGCUAAGGCGCCUCGAGCCCCUCAAAGGCCGAGGGACAACGAGCCUGAGAACUCCUACGCCCUCGGGCUACGGAAACUCUACUCACUUCCUUACCCUUGAGGUGAUCGAGGUUGUUUUUGACGAAAGAUCGAACAAGGAAUACAAACGUAGGCGCGAAGAGAAACAAAAAGCCUCGAGUGGAAAGACAGAUAAACAUUUAACAAAUAUUUAAAGACACUGCAUCACUUAAAAAGCAUGUUAACAAAGUAUUAUACAAGGGGCCCCGGGCACCCUGAGCAGGCUCGCAGGCCUCAGUCCAUGGCACGAUCCUCACCGCCCCCGCCUCCGCCCGAGCCAGUCUCAGGAGGAAGCACCUCAGGCUCAAAAAGCUUAGCCAGCCUUUCCCCAGGAGCCUCCGCGUCGUCGAUCAGGCGUGGAGCCUCUCUUCGUUCUCUGCGUCGGUUUUGGAGAUGUCGGUGACGAAGCCGUGGGACACCACCUCCAUGUCAUAGGAGAAGCCCGAACAGACAACUGCCAUGGCCCGCUUCACCCCGAUAUGGAGGGCGUCCCGCACUCGGUCUCUCAGCGUCAUGCCAAAGUAGCACAACUGGUCGACCAGUGCGUCGCCUCGAGCUCCCUCCCUCGACUCGUCCAUAGGCUCGACCUCCCAAGAGGUCGAGAGGUCGCUUAUCACCGUCCGCACGCGACGGUUCAAAGAAACCUCCGCCUUAGCAUUACGGGCCUCGACUUGGGCGGCUAGGAGUUCGUCCUUAAGCCCUGUAAACGCCAAUGCAAGAAACUUUAGGAAAAACCACGUACACCUCGAAAAAGAAAUCCGACAAAGGAAACGUACCGCGGACGCUCUCCUCCAGGGCCGUAUUCUCGCCGACUAGCCUGGUGUUGGCCCUCUCGAUCUCUCUGUUGGAGCGUGCCAGAUCAGUGUUGGCAACGCGGAGAUCCUCAAUCGCCUUGCCAGCCUGAGCAAUGGCCCCACUCUUCUCCAACAGCUCUCCCUUCAGACGUUCGACGUCGUCAGAGAGCCUGCGGGAUUGAGCCCGCUCCGCCUCGAGAUCUUCGAGGGCCUUCCUAUUGGCUUCCUCCGCGGCGCUCCUGGCGAUCUCGCCGUUCACGUGCUCCACCUUCAUCUUUUGGAAGGACUCUCAGAGAGAGUCUAGGUCGGUUUUAAGAAGGCCCUUCUCUUUGUCCAGAUCCGCGAUAACGCUCUUGUAGGACAGGGCCUCCUCCCGGGCUCUGGACGCGGCCUCCUCGACCGUCAGAACCCGCUCCCGCAGCAGCGUCGUCUCCUCCUCCGCCUUUCUUGAGGCCUCUCGAGCCUCGACCAAAGCAGCCUCCCUCGCCUUCUUCUCCUCCUCGAGUGCUAUGAGGUCUUUAUAAGCCUUGAGGAGUUUCUCCUGCGACUCGAGGAGUUGGUCCUUGAGGAUAGGGAGCUGCUCCCAGCCGCCUCUUGUGGCAUGAAUGAAGCUCGAUUUGAUGCGGGAGGUCUCUUUCAUGUCCUGCGAGCCGGCGGUCGAACUGUUAGAACACAAAACCAAAAGGUUCCAUGAAGAUCAAAGAUCGAAAAACACUUACAAAAUAAGCCGGCCCGAGCCUGUUGUUGAUGAUGUCCGACAGGAGCCCCACCACGUGCUUCAUCCAAAGGCGGAGCUCCUCGACAUGCUCCCACUUCUCGGCCUCCUUCUUGUCGUCGAGGAAGCUGUUGGGCUCGGACGGGUCGGUGGAAGCUCGGAUACGAAUCCGAUCGGGGCACCAGUUCUCCAUCUCUCGAUCAGCCCGCGCCUUGACACCGCGGAUAAGGUUCUCGAUGGUCUCGAGGGAGCCCCCGUGGCGCAGGAACAGAUCGACGAGGCAUGGGAACCGCCCGUCGUCAUCCACCGACUUCCAGGUACCGUCCUUGCUUCCCGACGUCCCGAUCUCGUCCUCCUCAGAGGACAAUCGAUCCUCCCACGCCCGACGCUCCCGGAGGAAACCUGGGGCGAUCCCGUCCAUGCCGUAGAUCGUCCUCUUGAUCUCGGAUUCGGGGUCGGUGGGGGUGCGCAUCAGGCAGGCAAGCGCCACCACACCAUCCGCUCGCCCCGGCUCUGCCCGGAUCGCGGCGGGCGCCCCCGGAAGGAGCCACGCUGGGGUCGGGGGGCCGUACACCGACAAAUCUUCUUCCUGCUCGCCAGGCUCUUGCAGCACCGGCGGCACUGGUUGAGGCAGAUCUUGAGGCAGGGGCUCAAGCGGCUUUUCUUCUUGGCCCCCCUGAUGCUGCUGCCACUCCACCUCGAGCGCUUGCUGGUGCUCCACCUGCUGCUGUCGCUGUUGCUGCUCCUGCUGCUGUUGCUGCUGCUGCUGCUCCUCAUGCUCCUGCGGCUGCCGCGUUGCCUUCCGCUCCCGCUCCUCAUCCUCCUCCCCUUUCUUCUUCUGCUCCUCGAGGGCGCGGAGACCAGCGCGCCAGGGAGUCUGUCCCGCGAUGAGGGACGUCGACGCCUCCUCCUCCAUAGGGUGGGCAUCCCCCGACGUCUCGUUGCCACCAGACGUGUCGCUGAUGGUAAUGGGUUUCGCCUCGACCCCCAAUCGGGGAGGCUCGGGGGCUCCUCCUUGCCCCUCAGUCUGGGGCGCCUCGACCCGCGCCGGCGGCGACGGGGCAGGCUCGAGACGAGGCGGGACGCUCUCAGCGUCGGCCGAAGGACGAGGGUCGGAGGAGCCUGCAAAACAAAGAACAGAGGCCGGUCACUAUGACGACCAACAGAAGAACAUCACGAGUACCUAAAGUAAGCCACGAACCUGGCUCCUUGGAGGCAGCUCCCACUUUGAGCCUCUUCGCCAUUGAGGGCUGGGCCUGCUCGAGCGUCCGCUUUAGCCUAAAAAGAAGGAAACGAGCAUGAAAAGACCAGAAUACAAGGAAACGUGAGGGAAUGGAAGUCACAACUUCAAAAAGCUUACCCUACGGGAAGAACAGCUCGCCUACCGGUGCCCCGACCGGUCGGCCUCGAGCCACCCCGCGUCAAGGCUCCGGGCCCCUCGAGCGCAGGCACUGGCCCUGGCGCAGCAAUUCCCGCGUGGCGGGCGCCGGGACUGGUGCUCCUGCGGCCGGCCUCUCCUUUCUCGGAGGCCGCAGCGCGACCACGAGUCAGUGGCCCCGUCGCCUGGGACCUAGCAUGGCCACCACCCCUGGGCACGGGGGGAGGGUGCGGCGAGACCUGGCCAGUCGAGGGCGCAGGAGGCAUGUCGGCCCGAGGGCGGUGGGACCCGCUCGGGCCCUCCUUCGGAGUCUCCGUCCGGGGGACGUCGACGUCACCACGAGGCGGGCCUUCGAGGAUCCGGUCAAGACGUGACGCCAUCCCCUCGGAGUCGUCGUUGUCCUCGUCGUCAUCAUCGUCGUCACUGGGAGAUUCUUCCUCAGGCUCCCCCCUCUGCCUAGAUUUGGCUCGACGCACCUCCAAAGCUUGGCGGUCGAGGUUCUUCUUCUUCUCCCCUUUCUUUGCGGAGUCCUUGGCGGACUUCAGCUUUUCGGUAGACUGGUGCCGCCUGUCACGAUCGACCUCGUCCUCCUUCACAGGGGGCCUCGAGGACCGGACAUCAAUACGUCCCUGCCAGAGUAAAGGAAGGUUUAAAAAAGAAUCGAGGAAAAUCCAGAAUCAGAGCUAUGUGCGAGAAAAGAACAUACCAGGUCGACCGAACCUUCAUCGGGCCUCAUAGGGAAGCCAUUGACGUGCUUCGACUUAAAGUCACCAGCGAUGGCCGCCCUAACCCGGGCAGCGAUCUCAUCGUCCGCCAGAGCCACGUUGGACAUCCGGCAGGCCUCGAGAUCCCGGGACGAGACGCCCGGCCCCAUCUCGUCCAUCCUCAAUGGCCGAGACAUCAAAGGGAGGACCCUUUGACGAUGGACGGCCGAGAGGACGAGAGCGGCGGACAGGCCCUCCAGGCGCAGCUUCUUCAUGGCAUCGAGGAGGGGGUCGAGCCGCGACUGGUGCUCUUGGACGACGCCGUACGUCCAGUUGUCCGGGCGCUCUGUAAUCAGACGGCCCGUGUAAGCGGGGAAGAGACCGUCAUUGUUCCUCAAGUAGAACCAUUGGGAGUCCCACCCAGCAUGGUUUGACGACAGCCCCACCGGGAUAUACUCGCGUGGCCUCUCCGUCUUCUUCGUCUUCAGAACCAGGUUGAGGCACCCGGCCCGCACGUGCUACCUCACGCCGGUGGUUCUGGUGGGGGCAUUGAAAAGCUCACCCCUGUAGAGGUGGAGCCACAGAUCCCAGUGGGGCAUCAUCCCCAGAUAGCCCUCACACACCGCGGCGAAGACGGCCGCGACGGUGAUGGCGUUCGGGGAGAAAUGCUGGAGCUCCACCCCAUAGUGGAAGCAGAGGGCCCGCAUGAAGCGGCUCGGGGGAGCGCCCAGGCCGUGGUGGUGGAACUUGGCGAACGACACCACGUAGCCCUCGGGCGGCUUGGGCUCCCUGUGGCCCGCCGGCGGCGCGAUCCACUCUGGCGACGACAGCAAGGUGCGGCGACGCAAGAGUCCCUCGCUCUCGAGCUCUAGCAGCCGGCGCUCCGUCAUCGACGACGGGCGCCAGUCGUCGGCGGCGACGAGUGUCACUGGCAUCUUGGCUGAAAGGAUGGUGGAUUCGCUACUGCUCGAAGGGGCGCACGCGUGAGUAAGACAACAAGAGAAUUAAGGCGACGAAAGGAUGAAGGCAAGGAGGCGGAAGGAAGAAGGAAGAGCGGCUGCGGUGCCACGGCGUAUUUAUAGGCAACGAUCCGCCAAUGGACAGAUCCAAAAAAUGAGGUAACGCCCCCCCUUAAAUGCGCCACCUAACAGUCUCUCCCCCCUCACAGGCGGGGCGCUUCGAGUUCCACGCCGACGCAGUGUCGUAACGUCAUCCGCCUAAAAAGGCAUGCCCAACGGGCAAAAAGGCGAACCGCCGCGGCAGCUUCCUUCCCUAGUAAGCCAAGGGGCGUACCCGCGAAAGCCUCGAGAGGUCGCAGGCUGGCCCACCAAAAGGGUUCGACAGCCGAUCUCGAGCACCGGAGUCAAGGAUCCCCAGCGAGCGGUCAAAGAUCAAGGCCUGCCUCGAAGACUCGCUGGGGAUGUCCAAGGUAGGGUCGAGACAGUCGAGAGGAAUCCCCCGACGGGAGGCAUCGAGCCGCUGGACUCUAUCGAAUGAGACCGGUAUCCCCGACCACGUCGACCCUGCUUUAUGAGAACGCCUCCGGGCUACAGCUGACCCCCUCGAAAGGGGCACAGGUUCUCACUUGGACUACCCGCUAGGAACUCGAUCUGGGGUGGAAGACGCUCGCUCUAUCGAGAGUACGUCGAAACCUCCGCGCAAAGCAAGCCAAUCAGAACCUUCCACCACUGGUGUCGAUAGUGUUUCUGCAAAAUAGGCAGUAUAACCCUCGAAGGAGUAAAAAACUCCUUCAAGGGCUCGGGGGCUGCCCCCGCGGGGUCGCUCGCGCGCCCCCACGGAAACAUGACCCAAGAGUAAAAGCCUCCACUCGAGCGCCAGCGCUCAAAUGGAGACUCGGGGGCUACUGUCGAGGGUAUCAAUAAGGGGUACCCUCACCGAUGCACGUAAUGAGACUAUCCGUACACAGGACGAGGCCCUCGACUCGACGCUCUGGCCGUACACAUGCGCAGCCAUCGACGGCCGUAGCCUCGAAGAUAGAAAUAGCGUCGAACGAAUCGAUCAGGGGUCGAGCGCUAGCUACCGUCGAAUACGGGAGCGGGCUCGAGCAAAACGGAAAGCGUCGAGCGCAGGGACACUGUCCGCCGCCUGACGCGCGCACGAGAGCCAAGGCAUUUAAUGCACCUGCCGUUUUCCCACCUAACACACUGGUCACGGGAAGCGUGAUAGGAAACAGGCAUCCGUCCCAUCGUUCUUUUUGCAGCCUUCCCCGCCGAACGUCCCAGGAUGUGUCAGGACGCGGGAAACAAGGAUGGAACGUCUAAUCGGGACCCCCUCGAGACAUCCAUGGUCAGCGCUCCGGAUAUCAGCACGUUACAUGGCGUCCGACCCUCGACCGGACAGGGUUCCUUCCUGGGGACGAGUUGGGUGUCGACUGACUACAUCUCAACCACUCCGCCGGAUUUGCCGCCAUAUCGUACAGGCGUGCGACCGGUAAACCAGUCCAAGACGGCGCGCAGAGCAGAAUGCAGGGGCACGCGUAAUCAUCACCAGGCUAUCCAGACCGGACGGCUCGAGGCCAUGCCGGUACGGAAGCCUCAAGUAGGUCAGUGCUCCAUGCUGCUAUCGACCCCUACUCUGACAUCUACGCAUGUACCCUAGGUCUCUGCUUGGAGCUAUAAAAGGAGGGACUCAGGAAUAGAACGGGCAGGGACACUACGCCCAUACGCAGUAGAACUCCCAUACUUCAUACCACGCUUGUAUUCACCCCUGUACAAGCACUUAGGUGCAAGAUAAUACGAACCUCCCUCCCCGCUGGACGUAGGGCCUUCUCUUGCCCGAACCAGGAUAAAUCUUUGUGUCUUCUUGCAUCACCAUCUGGGAAAGGGAGCACGCAUACUAAUUUACUCGUUGACGUGACCCCCCGGGGGAAAAACGCCGACACCAUAGUCUAAGAAACCAUUUUGGAUGCACUAUUUGGUACUCUUGGGUGAAGAGGCUCAAGUGGAAGCUUGGUUCGGUCAGUUUGGAGAUAGUGCUAAUCCUUAUGCAAGGUAGGUGCAUGGCUUGCAUGGAACAUACCAUAUGCUUGGAAAUCAAUUUGGAUGCACCCGAUGGAACUCCUUGACGAAGUGUGACAUAUGGAAUCUCUCUUCGGACCAUUUGGAGACAUUGUUAGUUUCGGUGCAAGAUAGGUGCACAGUUUGCACCUAAUGCACCAUAGUCUAAGAAACCAUUUUGGACGCACUUGUUGGUACUCCUAGGUGAAAGGGCUCAAGUGGAUGCUCGGUUCGGUCUGUUUGGAGAUAGUGCUAAUCUUGAUGCAAGAUAGGUGCACGGUUUGCAUGGAACAUUCCAUAUGCUUGGAAAUCAAUUUGGAUGCACCCGAUGGAACUCCUUGAUGACGUGUGUCAUAUGGAAUCUCACUUUGGUCUGUUUAGAAAUAGUGUUAGUUUCGGUGUAAGAUAUGUGCAUGGUUUGCGCCUAAUGCACCAUAGUCUAAGAAACCAUUUUGGAAGCACCUGUUGGUACUUUGGUCAAGUGGCUCAAGUGGAAGCUCAGUUUGAUCUAUUUGGAGAUAGUGCUAAUCUUGAUGCAAGAUAGGUGCAUGAUUUGCAAGGAACAUACCAUAUGCUUAGAAAUCUAUUUGGACGCACCCAAUGGAAAUCCUAGAUGACGUGUGUCAUAUGGAAUCUUGCAUCGGUCCGUUUGCAGACAUUGUAAGUUUUAGUGCAAGAUAGGUGCACAGUUUGCGCCUAAUGCACUAUAGUCUAAGAAACCAUUUUGGACGCACUAUUUGGUACUCUUGGGUGAAGAGGCUGAAGUGGAAGCUUGGUUCGAUCAGUUUGGAGAUAGUGCUAAUCCUUAUGCAAGGUUGGUGCAUGGUUUGCAUGGAACAUACCAUAUGCUUGGAAAUCAAUUUGGAUGCAGCCGAUGGAAAUCCUUGAUGACGUGUGUCAUAUGGAAUAUCGCUUGGGUCCAUUUGGAGAAAUUGUUAGUUUCGGUGAAAGAUAGGUGCACAGUUUGCACCUAAUGCACCAUAGUCUAAGAAACCAUUUUGGAUGCACUUGUUGGUACUCCUAGGUGAAGGGGCUCAAGUGGAUGCUCGGUUCGGUCUGUUUGGAGAUAGUGCUAAUCUUGAUACAAGAUAGGUGCACGGUUUGCAUGAAACAUACCAAAUGCUUUGAAAUCAAUCUGGACGCACAUGAUGGAACUCCUAGAUGAUGUGUGUCAUACAAAAUCUUGCAUUGGUCUGUUUGGAGACAGUGUUAGUUUUGGUGCAAGAUAAGGUGCAAGGUUUGCACAUAAUGCAGCACAGGCUAAUAAACCAUUUUGGACGCAUCCGAUGGUACUCCUAGGUAAAAGGAUCAAGUGAAAGCUCGAUUUGGUCUAUUUGGAGAUAGUGCUAAUCUUGAUGCAAGAUAGAUGCACGGUCUGCAUGGAACGUACCAUAUGCUUAGAAAUUAAUUCGGACACACCCGAUAGAACUCCUUGAUGACGUGUGUCAUAUGGAAUCUCGCAUUGGUGUGCUUAGAGAUAGUAUUAGUUUUGGUGCAAGAUAUGUGCACAGUUUGCUCCUAAUACACCAAAGUCUAAGAAACCAUUUUGGAAGCACCUGUUGGUACUCCUAGGUGAAGAGGCUCAAGUGGAGGCUCGGUUCGGUCUGUUUAGAGAUAGUGCUAGUCUUGAUGCAAGAUAGGUGCACGAUUUGCAUGUAACAUACCAUAUGCUUGGAAAUCAAUUUGGAUGCAUCCGAUGGAACUCCUUGUUGACGUGUGUCAUUUGGAAUCUCGCUUCGGUCCAUUUGGAGACAAUGUUAAUUUCGGUGCAAGAUAGGUGCACAUUUUGCACCUAAUGCACUUGUUGGUACUCCUAGGUGAAGGGGCUCAAGUGGAUGCUCGGUUCGGUCUGUUUCGAGAUAAUGCUAAUCUUGAUGCAAGAUAGAUGCAUGGUUUUCAUGGAACAUACGAUAUGCUUAGAAAUCAAUUAGGACGCACCUGAUAUAACUCCUUGAUGAUUUGUGUCAUAUGGAAUCUUGCUUCGGUUCGUUUAGAGACAGUGUUAGUUUUGGUAGAAGAUAUGUGCACGGUUUACGCCUAAUUGUUGAUGGUCCUUAAUGCUCAUAUUUAACCAUCAAUUAAUCAUGGAAAAGGAUCUAAAUGCAACCAACACCUAGACUUAGGGUUUUAUCUGACAGAAUUCUACGAGUUUUGGUGUUUGUCUAUUUCUACAGGGGGUUAUCAGGAAAUACGGAAGAAAGGCCCACACUUCGGGCUUACAUAGAGAUAUAACGUGCCGCGCAAUUUUCUAUCAUCUAGAAGACUCGAGAAGCCACGGGAACAAAGUGGAAGCCGAGAGGACUCAGGGAUUGGGCACCCGCCCUAGUCUUGAGGGUGCCCACCCACUUCCAGAGUCCAAUCAGGACACGUUUCGGGGAUUAUGCUCCACCGACCUAAAGGAUCAAGGAUGACCGUUCAAUCAAUGUCGGUUUGAUCUGACGGCCCAGAUUCAUCUGAAAAGACUAUAUAAGCAAGGCCCCCUGGCCCCUGGAGAUCAUACCUUUUCUACAGAAUCAAAGCUUGGGUUUCAAUUCUUCAUCCAAGUACAGAGGAUCCCUCUAGUUCUUCUAGUUCUACCUCUAGUUCAUCUAGAUCUAGUUCUAGUUCAUCUAGUUCUAGUUCUAGUUCCUCUAGUUCUAGUUCUAGUUCUAGUUAGUUCUAGUUGUAAUCUAGAAAAUAGGGAGAGAGAAGAGGAGAGCGGAGGAGGAGCCGGAUCUGUCGGAUCUUCCUCAACAUUGUACUUUUGUAGCAACUGGUUCGUUCUUCAUUGUUCUCCAGGUUCUUCAAUUCAUAAUUCCUGAGUUCUUUAAUUACUUUUAUUUACAUUCAAGUUAUUUAUUGGAUUCCCGCUUGCAUCAAGUGCUCUAGUCUUUGAUACGCUAGAGUAGUAAUUAAUAGAUUAGACGUGGUGUUUAGUCUUGCAAUUACCUGGAAUUGCACCCAAUCCUGCGGAUUGUUGUGGUAGCCUUAGGGCAGUGACCACCCUAACGGUCGACGUAUUCCACCUCGUUCAGAUUGGUGUUUGUAGGACCGUAGUCAGACCUUCCUAGACCCCUUCUCAUCUCUUUCUAUGGUUAGAGCUAUGAUGUCCCGAUAUAAAAGAUCUUGAAGUAAUUCUUGAUUCUUAGAUCAACUAGAGAACUCUCAGAAAACUUUCUCUCUUCCCACCAAAAAUAAUUAUAUAGUUAUCCUUGGGCGAUCUUAGAUCUUAAUUCGUACACUCACGUUCUCUGUGGAAAAUCGAUACUAUGGAAUACUCCCGGGUGAAAGCUACAUCGGUAUCCGUGCGCUUCUGGAUUUUUCUGUUUGCGUUUAAAAUACCCAACACUAAUGCACCAUAGGCUAAGAAACUAUUUUAGACACACCCGAUGGUACUCGUAGUUGAAGAGGCUCAAGUGGAGGCUCCAUUUGGUCUGUUCAGAUAUAGUGCUAAUCUUGAUGCAAGAUAGUUACACAGUUUGCAUGCAACGUACCAUAUGUUAAGAAAUCAAUUUGGACGCACCCAAUGGAUCUCCUAGAUGACGUGUGUCAUAUGGAAUCUCGCUUUGGUCUGUUUGGAGACAAUGUUAGUUUCGGUGCAAGACAGGUGCAUAGUUUGUGCCUAAUGCACCAUAGUCGAAGAAACCAUUUUUGACACACCUGUUUGUACUCCUAGAUGAAGAGGCUCAAGUGGAAGCUCGGUUCGGUCUGUUUGGAGAUAGUGCUAAUCUUGAUGCAAGAUAGGUGCACGGUUUGCAUGGAACAUACCAUAUGCUUAGAAAUCAAUUUGGAUGCACCCGAUGGACCUCCUUGAUGACGUGUGUCAUAUGGAAUCUUACUUUGGUCUGUUUAGAAAUAGUGUUAGUUUUGGUACAAGAUAUGUGCAUGGUUUGCGCCUAUUGCACCAUAGUCUAAGAAACCAUUUUGGAAGCACCUGUUGGUACUUUGGUGAAGAGGCUCAAGUGGAAGCUCGGUUUGAUAUGUUUAGAGAUAGUGCUAAUCUUGAUGCAAGAUAGGUGCAUGAUUUGCAAGGAACAUACAUAUAUAAAGAAAUCAAUUUGGACGCACCCAAUGGAACUCCUAGAUGACGUGUGUCAUAUGGAAUCUUGCUUCGGUCCGUUUGUAGACAUUGUAAGUUUUAGUGCAAGAUAGGUGCACAGCUUUCGCCUAAUGCACCAUAGUCUAAGAAACCAUUUUGGAUGCACUAUUUGGUACUCUUGGGUGAAGAGGCUCAAGUGGAAUCUUGGUUCGGUCAGUUUGGAGAUAGUGCUAAUCUUUAUGCAAGGUAGGUCCAUGGUUUGCAUGGAACAUACCAUAUGCUUGGAAAUCAAUUUGGAUGCACCCGAUGGAACUCCUUGACGACGUGUGUCAUAUGGAAUCUCGCUUCGGUCCAUUUGGAGACAUUGUUAGUUUUGGUGCAAGAUAGGUGCAUAUUUUGCACCUAAUGCACCACAGUCUAAGAAACCAUUUUGGGCCACUUGUUGGUACUUCUAGGGGAAAGAGCUCAAGAGGAUGCUCGGUUCGGUCUAUUUAGAGAUAGUGCUAAUCUUGAUGCAAGAUAGGUGCACGGUUUGCAUGGAACAUACCAAAUGCUUGGAAUUCAAUUUGGAUGCACCCGAUGGAACUCUUUGAUGACGUGUGUCAUAUGGAAUCUCACUUUGGUAUGUUUAGAAAUAGUGUUAGUUUCGGUACAAGAUAUGUGCAUUGUUUGCGCCUAAUGCACCAUAGUCUAAGAAAUCAUUUUGGAAGCACCUGUUGGUACUCCUAGGUGAAGGGGCUCAAGUGGAUGCUCGGUUCGGUCUGUUUAGAGAUAGUGCUAAUCUUGAUGCAAGAUAGGUGCACGGUUUGCAUGGAACAUACCACAUGCUUGGAAAUCUAUUUGGAUGCACCCGAUGGAACUCCUUGACGACGUGUGUCAUAUGGAAUCUCGCUUCGGUCCAUUUGGAGACAAUGUUAGUUUCGGUGCAAGAUAGGUGCAUAGUUUGUGCCUAAUGCACCAUAGUCUAAGAAACCAUUUUUGAAAAACCUAUUUGUACUCCUAGAUGAAGAGGCUCAAGUGGAAGCUCGCUUUGAUCUGUUUGGAGAUAGUGCUAAUCUUGAUGCAAGAUAAGUGCAUGAUUUGCAAUGAACAUACCAUAUGCUUAGAAAUCAAUUUGGAUGCAGCCAAUAGAACUCCUAGAUGACGUGUGUCAUAUGGAAUCUUGCUUCGGUCCGUUUGUAGACAUUGUAAGUUUUAGUGCAAGAUUGGUGCACAGUUUGCGCCUAAUGCACUAUAGUCUAAGAAACGAUUUUUAACGCACUAUUUGGUACUCUUGGGUGAAGAGGCUCAAGUGGAAGCUUGGUUCGGUUAGUUUGUAGAUAGUUCUAAUCCUUAUGCAAGGUAGGUGCAUGCUUUGCAUGGAACAUACCAUAUGCUUGGAAAUCAAUUUCGAUGCACCCGAUGGAACUCCUUGACGACGUGUGUCACAUGGAAUCUCGUUUGGAUCCAUUUGGAGACACUGUUAGUUUGGGUGCAAGAUAGGUGCACAGUUUGCACUUAAUGCACCAUAGUCUAAGAAACCAUUUUGGAGGCACUUGUUGGUACUCCUAGCUGAAGGGGCUCAAGUGGAUGCUCGGUUCGGUCUGUUUGGAGAUAGUGCUAAUCUUGAUGAAAGAUAGGUGCACGGUUUGCAUGGAACAUACCAAAUGCUUGGAAAUCAAUCUGGACGCACAUGAUGGAACUCCUAGAUGACGUGUGUCAUACAAAAUCUUGCUUUGGUCUGUUUGGAGACAGUGUUAGUUUCGGUGCAAGAUAGGUGCAAGGUUUGCACAUAAUGCAGCAUAGGCUAAGAAACCAUUUUGGACGCACCCGAUGGUACUCCUACGUAAAAGGCUCAAGUGAAAGCUCAGUUUGGUCUAUUUAUAGAUAGUGCUAAUCUUGAUGCAAGAUAGAUGCACGGUCUGCAUGGAACGUACCAUUUGCUUAGAAAAAUUGAUUUGGACACACCCGAUAGAACUCCUUGAUGACGUGUGUAAUAUGGAAUCUCGCUUUGGUGUGCCUAGAGAUAGUAUUAGUUUCGGUGCAAGAUAUGUGCACGGUUUGCGCCUAAUGCACCAAAGUCUAAGAAACCAUUUUGGAAGCACCUGUUGGUACUCCUAGGUGAAGAGGCUCAAGUGGAGGCUCGCUUCGGUCUGUUUAGAGAUAGUGCUAGUCUUGAUGGAAGAUAGGUGCACGAUUUGCAUGGAACAUACCAUAUGCUUGGAAAUCAAUUUGGAUGCACCCGAUGGAACUCCUUGAUAACGUGUGUCAUUUGGAAUCUCGCUUCGGUCCAUUUGGAGACAUUGUUAGUUUCGGUGCAAGAUAGGUGCACAGUUUGCACCUAAUGCACCAUAGUCUAAGAAACCAUUUUGGACGCACUUGUUGGUACUCUUGGGUGAAGAGGCUCAAGUGGAUGCUCGGUUCGGUCUGUUUAGAGAUAGUGCUAAUCCCUAUGCAAGGUAGGUGCAUGGUUUGCAUGGAACAUACCAUAUGCUUGGAAAUAAAUUUGGAUGCACCCGAUGAAACUCCAUGACAACGUGUGUCAUAUGGAAUCUCGCUUCGGUCCAUUUGGAGACAUUGUUAGUUUCGGUGCAAGAUAGGUGCACAGUUUGCACCUAAUGCACCAUAAUCUAAGAAACCACUUUGGACACACUUGUUGGUACUCCUAGGUGAAGGGGCUCAAGUGGAUGCUCGGUUCAAUUUGUUUGGAGAUUGUGCUAAUCUUGAUGCAAGAUAGAUGCAUGGUUUGCAUAGACAUACGAUAUGCUUAGAAAUCAAUUAGGACGCACUUGAUAUAACUCUUUAAUGAUUUGUGUCAUAUGGAAUCUUGCUUCGGUUCAUUUAGAGACAGUGUUAGUUUUGGUAGAAGAUAUGUGCACGGUUUACGCCUAAUGCACCAUAGGCUAAGAAACCAUUUUACACGCACCCGAUGGUACUCGUAGUUCAAGAUGCUCAAGUGGAGGCUCGAUUUGAUCUGUUCUAAUAUAGUACUAAUCAUGAUGCAAGAUAGUUGCACAAUUUGCAUGCAACGAACCAUAUGUUAAGAAAUCAAUUUGGACGCACCCAACGGAACUCCUAGAUGACGUGUGUCAAAUGGAAUCUCGCUUCGGUCUGUUUGGAGACAAUGUUAGUUUCGGUGCAAGAUAGGUGCAUAGUUUGUGCAUAAUGCACCAUAGUCUAAGAAACCAUUUUUGACACACCUGUUUGUACUCCUAGAUGAAGACGCUCAAGUGGAAGCUCGGUUCGGUCUGUUUGGAGAUAGUGCUAAUCUCGAUGCAAGAUAGGUGCACGGUUUGUAUGGAACAUACCAUAUGCUUGGAAAUCAGUUUGGAUGCACCCGAUGGAACUCCUUGAUGACGUGUGUCAUAUGGAAUCUCACUUUGGUCGGUUUAGAAAUAUUGUUAGUUUCGGUGCAAGAUAUGUGCAUGGUUUGCGCCUAAUGCACCAUAGUCUAAGAAACCAUUUUGGAAGCACCUAUUGGUACUUCGGUGAAGAGGCUCAAGUGGAAGCUUGGUUUGAUAUAUUUGGAGAUAGUUCUAAUCUUGAUGCAAGAUAGGUGCAUGAUUUUCAAGGAACAUACCAUAUGCUUAGAAAUCAAUUUGGACGCACCCAAUGGAACUCCUAGAUGAUGUGUGUCAUAUGGAAUCUUGCUUCGGUCCGUUUGUAGACAUUGUAAGUUUUAGUGCAAGAUAGGUGCACAGUUUGCGCCUAAUGAACCAUAGUCUAAGAAACCAUUUUGGUUGCACUAUUUGGUACUCUUGGGUGAAGAGGCUCAAGUGGAAGCUUGGUUCGGUCAGUUUGGAGAUAGUGCUAAUCCUUAUGCAAGGUAGGUGCAUGGUUUGCACGGAACAUACCAUAUGCUUGGAAAUCAAUUUAGAUGCACCCGAUGGAACUUCGUGACAACGUGUGUCAUAUGGAAUCUCGCUUCGGUCCAUUUGGAGACAUUGUUAGUUUUGGUGCAAGAUAGGUGCACAGUUUGCACCUAAUGCACCAUAGUCUAAGAAACCAUUUUGAACGCACUUGUUGGUACUCCUUGGUGAAGGGGCUCAAGUGGAUGCUCGGUUCGGUCUGUUUGGAGGUAGUGCUAAUCUUGAUGCAAGAUAGGUGCACGGUUUGCAUGGAAUAUACCAAAUGCUUGGAAAUCAAUAUGGACGCACAUGAUGCAACUCCUAGAUGAUGUAUGUCAUACAAAAUCUUGCUUUGCUCUGUUUGGAGACUGUGCUAGUUUCAGUGCAAGAUAGGUGCAAGGUUUGCACAUAAUGCAGCACAGGCUAAGAAACCAUUUUGGACGAACCCGACGGUACUCCUAGGUAAAAGGCUCAAGUGAAAGCUCGAUUUUGUCUAUUUGGAGAUAGUGCUAAUCUUGAUGCAAGAUAGAUGCACGGUCUGCGUGGAACGUACCAUAUGCUUAGAAAUUAAUUUGGACACACCCGAUAGAAUCCUUGAUGACAUGUGUCAUAUGGAAUCUCGCUUUGGUGUGCUUAGAGAUAGUAUUAGUUUCGGUGCAAGAUAUGUGCACAGUUUGCGCCUAAUGCACCAAAGUCUAAGAAACCAUUUUGGAAGCACAUGUUGGUACUCCUAGGUGAAGAGGCUCAAGUGGAGGCUCGGUUCGGUCUGUUUAGAGAUAGUGCUAGUCUUGAUGCAAGAUAGGUGCAUGAUUUGCAUGGAACAUACCAUAUGCAUGGAAAUCAAUUUGGAUGCACCCGAUGGAACUCCUUGAUGACGUGUGUCAUUUGGAAUCUCGCUUUGGUCCAUUUGGAGACAUUGUUAGUUUCGGUGCAAGUAGUCGGUGCACAGUUUCCACCUAAUGCACCAUAUUCUAAGAAACCAUUUUGGACUCACUUGUUGGUUCUCCUAGGUGAAGAGGCUCAAGUGGAUGCUCGGUUCGAUCUGUUUGGAGAUAGUGCUAAUCUUGAUGCAAUAUAGAUGCAUGGUUUGCAUGAAGAUAUGAUAUGCUUAGAAAUCAAUUAGGACGCACCUGAUAUAACUACUUAAUGAUUUGUGUCAUAUGAAAUCUUGCUUCAGAUCAUUUAGAGGCAGUCACAGUUUUGGUAGAAGAUAUGUGCACGAUUUACGCCUAAUGCACCAUAGGCGAAGAAACAAUUUUAGACGCACCCGAUGGUACUCGUAGUUGAAGAGGCUCAAGUGGAGGCUCCAUUUGGUCUGUUCGGAUAUAGUGCUAAUCUUGAUGCAAGAUAGUUGCACAGUUUGCAUGCAACGUACUAUAUGUUAAGAAAUCAAUUUGGACACACCCAAUGGAACUUCUAGAUGACGUGUGUCAAAUGGAAUCUCGCUUCGGUCUGUUUGGAUACAAUGUUAGUUUCGGUGCAAGAUAGGUGCAUAGUUUGUGCAUAAUGCACCAUAGUCUAAGAAACCAUUUUUGACCCACCUAUUUGUACUCCUAGACGAAGAGGCUCAAGUGGAAGCUCGGUUCGGUCUGUUUGGAGAUAGUGCUAAUCUUGAUGCAAGAUAAGUGCACGGUUUGCAUGGAACAUACCAUAUGCUUAGAAAUCAAUUUGGACGCACCUGAUGGAACUCCUUGAUGACGUGUGUCAUAUGGAAUCUCACUUUGGUCUGUUUAGAAAUAGUGUUAGUUUCGGUGCAAGAUAUGUGCAUGGUUUGCGCCUAAUGCACCAUAGUCUAAGAAACCAUUUUGGAAGCACCUGUUGGUACUUCGGUCCAGAGGCUCAAGUGAAAGCUUGGUUUGAUAUGUUUGGAGAUAGUGCUAAUCUUGAUGCAAGAUAGGUGCAUGAUUUACAAGGAACAUACCAUAUGCUUAGAAAUCAAUUUGGACGCACCCAAUGGAACUCCUAGAUGACGUGUGUCAUAUGGAAUCUUGCUUCGGUCCAUUUGUAGACAUUGUAAGUUUUAGUGCAAGAUAGGUGCACAGUUUGCGCCUAAUGCACCAUAGUCUAAGAAACCAUUUUGGUUGCACUAUUUGGUACUCUUCGGUGAAGAGGCUCAAGUGGAAGCUUGGUUCGGUCAGUUUGGAGAUAGUGCUAAUCCUUAUGCAAGGUAGGUGCAUGGUUUGCACGGAACAUACCAUAUGCUUGGAAAUCAAUUUAGAUGCACCCGAUGGAACUUCGUGACAACGUGUGUCAUAUGGAAUCUCGCUUCGGUCCAUUUGGAGACAUUGUUAGUUUUGGUGCAAGAUAGGUGCACAGUUUGCACCUAAUGCACCAUAGUCUAAGAAACCAUUUUGAACGCACUUGUUGGUACUCCUUGGUGAAGGGGCUCAAGUGGAUGCUCGGUUCGGUCUGUUUGGAGGUAGUGCUAAUCUUGAUGCAAGAUAGGUGCACGGUUUGCAUGGAAUAUACCAAAUGCUUGGAAAUCAAUAUGGACGCACAUGAUGCAACUCCUAGAUGAUGUAUGUCAUACAAAAUCUUGCUUUGCUCUGUUUGGAGACUGUGCUAGUUUCAGUGCAAGAUAGGUGCAAGGUUUGCACAUAAUGCAGCACAGGCUAAGAAACCAUUUUGGACGAACCCGACGGUACUCCUAGGUAAAAGGCUCAAGUGAAAGCUCGAUUUUGUCUAUUUGGAGAUAGUGCUAAUCUUGAUGCAAGAUAGAUGCACGGUCUGCGUGGAACGUACCAUAUGCUUAGAAAUUAAUUUGGACACACCCGAUAGAAUCCUUGAUGACAUGUGUCAUAUGGAAUCUCGCUUUGGUGUGCUUAGAGAUAGUAUUAGUUUCGGUGCAAGAUAUGUGCACAGUUUGCGCCUAAUGCACCAAAGUCUAAGAAACCAUUUUGGAAGCACAUGUUGGUACUCCUAGGUGAAGAGGCUCAAGUGGAGGCUCGGUUCGGUCUGCUUAGAGAUAGUGCUAGUCUUGAUGCAAGAUAGGUGCAUGAUUUGCAUGGAACAUACCAUAUGCAUGGAAAUCAAUUUGGAUGCACCCGAUGGAACUCCUUGAUGACGUGUGUCAUUUGGAAUCUCGCUUUGGUCCAUUUGGAGACAUUGUUAGUUUCGGUGCAAGUAGUCGGCGCACAGUUUCCACCUAAUGCACCAUAUUCUAAGAAACCAUUUUGGACUCACUUGUUGGUUCUCCUAGGUGAAGAGGCUCAAGUGGAUGCUCGGUUCGAUCUGUUUGGAGAUAGUGCUAAUCUUGAUGCAAUAUAGAUGCAUGGUUUGCAUGAACAUAUGAUAUGCUUAGAAAUCAAUUAGGACGCACCUGAUAUAACUACUUAAUGAUUUGUGUCAUAUGAAAUCUUGCUUCAGAUCAUUUAGAGGCAGUCACAGUUUUGGUAGAAGAUAUGUGCACGAUUUACGCCUAAUGCACCAUAGGCAAAGAAACAAUUUUAGACGCACCCGAUGGUACUCGUAGUUGAAGAGGCUCAAGUGGAGGCUCGAUUUGGUCUGUUCGGAUAUAGUGCUAAUCUUGAUGCAAGAUAGUUGCACAGUUUGCAUGCAACGUACUAUAUGUUAAGAAAUCAAUUUGGACACACCCAAUGGAACUUCUAGAUGACGUGUGUCAAAUGGAAUCUCGCUUCGGUCUGUUUGGAGACAAUGUUAGUUUCGGUGCAAGAUAGGUGCAUAGUUUGUGCAUAAUGCACCAUAGUCUAAGAAACCAUUUUUGACCCACCUAUUUGUACUCCUAGACAAAGAGGCUCAAGUGGAAGCUCGGUUCGGUCUGUUUGGAGAUAGUGCUAAUCUUGAUGCAAGAUAAGUGCACGGUUUGCAUGGAACAUACCAUAUGCUUAGAAAUCAAUUUGGACGCACCCGAUGGAACUCCUUGAUGAUGUGUGUCAUAUGGAAUCUCACUUUGGUCUGUUUAGAAAUAGUGUUAGUUUCGGUGCAAGAUAUGUGCAUGGUUUGCGCCUAAUGCACCAUAGUCUAAGAAACCAUUUUGGAAGCACCUGUUGGUACUUCGGUCCAGAGGCUCAAGUGGAAGCUUGGUUUGAUAUGUUUGGAGAUAGUGCUAAUCUUGAUGCAAGAUAGGUGCAUGAUUUACAAGGAACAUACCAUAUGCUUAGAAAUCAAUUUGGACGCACCCAAUGGAACUCCUAGAUGACGUGUGUCAUAUGGAAUCUUGCUUCGGUCCGUUUGUAGACAUUGUAAGUUUUAGUGCAAGAUAGGUGCACAGUUUGCGCCUAAUGCAGCACCAUAGUCUAAGAAACCAUUUUGGUUGCACUAUUUGGUACUCUUGGGUGAAGAGGCUCAAGUGGAAGCUUGGUUCGAUCAGUUUGGAGAUAGAGCUAAUCCUUAUGCAAGGUAGGUGCAUGGUUUGCAUGGAACAUACCAUAUGUUUGGAAAUCAAUUUUGAUGCACCCGAUGGAACUCCAUGACAACGUGUGUCAUAUGGAAUCUCGCUUCGGUCCAUUUGGAGACAUUGUUAGUUUCGGUGCAAGAUAGGUGCACAGUUUGCACCUAAUGCACCAUAGUCUAAGAAACCAUUUUUGACGCACUUGUUGGUACUCCUAGGUGAAGGGGCUCAAGUGGAUGCUCGGUUCGGUCUAUUUGGAGAUAGUGCUAAUCUUGAUGCAAGAUAGGUGCACGGUUUGCAUGGAAUAUACCAAAUGCUUGGAAAUCAAUAUGGACGCACAUGAUGGAACUCCUAGAUGAUGUGUGCCAUACAAAAUCUUGCUUUGCUCUGUUUGGAGAUAGUGUUAGUUUCAGUGCAAGAUAGGUGCAAGGUUUGCACAUAAUGCAGCAUAGGCUAAGAAACCAUUUUUGACGAACCUGAUGGUACUCCUAGGUAAAAGGCUCAAUUGAAAGCUCGAUUUGGUCUAUUUGGACACACCCGAUAGAAUCCUUGAUGACGUGUGUCAUAUGGAAUCUCGCUUUGGUGUGCUUAGAGAUAGUAUUAGUUUCGGUGCAAGAUAUGUGCACGGUUUGUGGCUAAUGCACCAAAGUCUAAGAAACCAUUUUGGAAGCACCUGUUGGUACUCCUAGGUGAAGAGGCUCAAGUGGAGGCUCUGUUCGGUCUGUUUAGAGAUAGUGCUAGUUUUGAUGCAAGAUAGGUGCACAAUUUGCAUGGAACAUACCAUAUGAAUAGAAAUCAAUUUGGAUGCACCCGAUGGAACUCCUUGAUGACGUGUGUCAUUUGGAAUCUCGCUUCGGUCCAUUUGGAGACAUUGUUAGUUUCGGUGCAAGGUAGGUGCACAGUUUGCACCUAAUGCACCAUAUUCUAAGAAACCAUUUUGGACGCACUUCUUGGUACUCGUAGGUGAAGAGGCUCAAGUGGAUGCUCGAUUCGAUCUGUUUGGAGAUAGUACUAAUCUUGAUGCAAUAUAGAUGCAUGGUUUGCAUGGACAUGUGAUAUGCUUAGAAAUCAAUUAGGACACACCUGAUAUAACUCCUUAAUGAUUUGUGUCAUAUGAAAUCUUGCUUCGGAUCAUUUAGAGGCAGUCACAGUUUUGGUAGAAGAUAUGUGCACGAUUUACGCCUAAUGCACCAUAGGCUAAGAAACAAUUUUAGACGCACCCGAUAGUACUCGUAGUUGAAGAGGCUCAAGUGGAGGCUCGAUUUGGUCUGUUCGGAUAUAGUGCUAAUCUUGAUGCAAGAUAGUUGCACAGUUUGCAUGCAACGUACCAUAUGUUAAGAAAUCAAUUUGGACGCACCCAAUGGAACUCCUAGAUGACGUGUGUCAAAUGGAAUCUCGCUUCGGUCUGUUUGGAGACAAUGUUAGUUUCGGUGCAAGAUAGGUGCAUAGUUUGUGCAUAAUGCACCAUAGUCUAAGAAACCAUUUUUGACACACCUAUUUGUACUCCUAGAUGAAGAGGCUCAAGUGGAAGCUCGGUUCGGUCUGUUUGAAGAUAGUGCUAAUCUUGAUGCAAGAUAGGUGCACGGUUUGCAUGGAACAUACCAUAUGCUUAGACAUCAAUUUGGACGCACCCGAUGGAACUCCUUGAUGACGUGUGUCAUAUGGAAUCUCACUUUGGUCUGUUUAGAAAUAGUGUUAGUUUCGGUGCAAGAUAUGUGCAUGGUUUGCGCCUAAUGCACCAUAGUCUAAGAAACCAUUUUGGAAGCACCUGUUGGUACUUCGGUCCAGAGGCUCAAGUGGAAGCUUGGUUUGAUAUGUUUGGAGAUAGUGCUAAUCUUGAUGCAAGAUAGGUGCAUGAUUUACAAGGAACAUACCAUAUGCUUAGAAAUCAAUUUGGACGCACCCAAUGGAACUCCUAGAUGACGUGUGUCAUAUGGAAUCUUGCUUCGGUCCGUUUGUAGACAUUGUAAGUUUUAGUGCAAGAUAGGUGCACAGUUUGCGCCUAAUGCACCAUAGUCUAAGAAACCAUUUUGGUUGCACUAUUUGGUACUCUUGGGUGAAGAGGCUCAAGUGGAAGCUUGGUUCGGUCAGUUUGGAGAUAGUGCUAAUCCUUAUGCAAGGUAGGUGCAUGGUUUGCAUGGAACAUACCAUAUGUUUGGAAAUCAAUUUGGAUGCACCCGAUGGAACUCCAUGACAACGUGUGUCAUAUGGAAUCUCGCUUCGGUCCAUUUGGAGGCAUUGUUAGUUUCGGUGCAAGAUAGGCGCACAGUUUGCACCUAAUGCACCAUAGUCUAAGAAACCAUUUUUGACACACUUGUUGGUACUCCUAGGUGAAGGGGCUCAAGUGGAUGCUCGGUUCGAUCUAUUUGGAGAUAGUGCUAAUCUUGAUGCAAGAAAGGUGCACGGUUUGCAUGGAAUAUACCAAAUGCUUGGAAAUCAAUCUGGACGCACAUGAUGGAACUCCUAGAUGACGUGUGCCAUAAAAAUUCUUGCUUUGCUCUGUUUGGAGACAGUGUUAGUUUCAGUGCAAGAUAGGUGCAAGGUUUGCACAUAAUGCUAAGAAACCAUUUUGGACGAACCCGAUGGUACUCCUAGGUAAAAGGCUCAAGUGAAAGCUCGAUUUGGUCUAUUUGGAGAUAGUGUUAAUCUUGAUGCAAGAUAGAUGCACGGUCUGCAUGGGAUGUACCAUAUGCUUAGAAAUUAAUUUGGACACACCCGAUAGAAUCCUUGAUGACGUGUGUCAUAUGGAAUCUCGCUUUGGUGUGCUUACAAGUAGUAUUAGUUUCGGAGCAAGAUAUGUGCACGGUUUGCAGCUAAUGCACCAAAGUCUAAGAAACCAUUUUGGAAGCACCUGUUGGUACUCCUAGGUGAAGAGGCUCAAGUGGAGGCUCGGUUCAGUCUGUUUAGAGAUAGUGCUAGUUUUGAUACAAGAUGGGUGCACGAUUUGCAUGGAACAUACCAUAUGCAUAGAAAUCAAUUUGGAUGCACCCGAUGGAACUCCUUGAUGACGUGUGUCAUUUGGAAUCUCGCUUCGGUCCAUUUGGAGACAUUGUUAGUUUCGGUGCAAGGUAGGUACACAGUUUGCACCUAAUGCACCAUAUUCUAAGAAACCAUUUUGGACGCACUUGUUGGUACUCCUAGGUGAAGGGGCUGAAGAGGAUGCUCGUUUCGGUCUGGUUGGAGAUAGUGCUAAUCUUGAUGCAAUAUAGGUGCACGGUUUGCAUAGAAUAUACCAAAUGCUUGGAAAUCAAUCUGGACGCACAUGGUGGUACUCCUAGAUGACGUGUGUCAUACAAAAUCUUGCUUUGGUCUGUUUGGAGACAGUGUUAGUUUCGGUGCAAGAUAGGUGCAAGGUUUGCACAUAAUGCAGCAUAGGCUAAGAAACCAUUUUCGACGAACCCGAUGGUACUCCUAGGUAAAAGGCUCAAGUGAACGCUCAAUUUUAUCUAUUUGGAGAUAGUGCUAAUCUUGAUGCAAGAUAGAUGCACGGUCUGCAUGGAACGUACCAUAUGCUUAGAAAUUAAUUUGGACACACCCGAUAGAAUCCUUGAUGACGUGUGUCAUAUGGAAUCUCGCUUUGGUGUGCUUAGAGAUAGUAUUAGUUUUGGUGCAAGAUACAUGCUCGGUUUGCGCCUAAUGCACCAAAGUCUAAGAAACCAUUUUUGAAGCACAUGUUGGUACUCCUAGGUGAAGAGGCUCAAGUGGAGGCUCGGUUCGGUCUGUCUAGAGAUAUGGUGUAUUAGGCACAAACCGCGCACCUAUCUUGCACCGAAACUAACACUAUCUUCAAACAGACCAAAGCAAGAUAUCAGAUGACACACAUCAUCUAGGAGUUCUAUUGGGUGCGUCUAUAUUGACUUUUAAGCAUAUGGUAUGUUCCAUGCAAACUAUGCACCUAUCUUACAUGAAGAUUAGCACUAUCUCCAAACAGAUUGUACCGAGCUUUCACUCGAGUCUCUUCACCUAAAAGUACCAUUAGGUGCUUCCACAACUGUUUCUAAGCCUAUGGUGCAUUAGGCGCACACCGUGCACCUAUCUUGUACCGAAAUUAACACUAUCUACAAAUGGACUGAAGUGAGAUUCCAUAUGACACACAUCAUCUAGGAGUUCUAUCGGGUGCGUCCAAACUGAUUUCUAAGCAUAUGGUACGAUGCACAGUCUGCAUGGAACGUACCAUAUGCGUAGAAAUUAAUUUGGACACACCUAAUAGAACUCCUUGAUGACUUGUGUCAUAUGGAAUCUCGCUUUGGUGCGCUUAGAGACAGUAUUAGUUUCGGUGCAAGAAAUGUGCACGGUUUGCGCCUAAUGCACCAAAGUCUAAGAAACCAUUUUGGAAGCACCUGUUGGUACUCCUAGGUGAAGAGGCUCAAGUGGAGGCUGGGUUCGGUCUGUAUGGAGAUAUUGCUAAUCUUGAUGCAAGAUAAGUGCACGAUUUGCAAGGAACAUACCAUAUGCUCAGAAAUCAAUUUGGACGCACCAGAUGGAACUCCUAGAUGACAUGUGUCAUAUGGAAUCCCACUUCGGUCCGUUUGGAGACAGUGUUAGUUUCGGUGCAAGAUAGGUGCAUGGUUUGCACCUAAUACACCAUAGGAUAAGAAACCAUUUUGGAUGCACCCGAUGGUACUACUAGGUCAAGGUGCUCUAGUGAAAGCUCGGUUUGGUUUGUUUGGAGAUAGUGCUAAUCUAGAUGCAAGAUAGAUGCACGGUUUGCAUGGAACAUACGAUAUGCCCAGAAAUCAAUUAGGACGCACCUGAUAUAACUCCUUGAUGAUGUGUCAUAUGGAAUCUUGCUUCGGUUCGUUUAGAGACAGUGUUAGUUUUGGUAGAAGAUAUGUGCAUGGUUUACGCCUAAUGCACCAUAGGCUAAGAAACCAUUUUCAACGCACCUGAUGGUACUCAUAGUUGAAGAGGCUCAAAUGGAGGCUCGAUUUGGUCUGUUCGGAUAUAGUGUUAAUCUUGAUGUAAGAUAGUUGCACAAUUUGCAUGGAACGUUCCAUAUGUUAAGAAAUCAAUUUGGACGCAUCCAAUGGAACUCCUAGAUUACGUAUGUCAUAUGGAAUCUCGCUUCAGUCUGUUUGGAGACAAUGUUAGUUUCAGUGCAAGAUAGGUGCAUAGUUUGUGCCUAAUGCACCAUAGUCUAAGAAACCAUUUUGGACGCACCUGUUUGUACUCAUAGAUGAAGAGGCUCAAGAGAAAGCUCGGUUCAGUCUGUUUGGAGACAAUGUUAGUUUCGGUGCAAGAUAGGUGCAUAGUUUGAGCCUGAUGCACCAUUGUCUAAGAAACCAUUUUUUAUGCACUUGUUUGGACUCCUAGAUGAAGAGGCUCAAUUGGAAGCUCGGUUCGGUCUAUUUGGAGAUAGUGCUAAUCUUCAUGCAACAUAGGUGCACGGUUUGCAUGGAACAUACCAUAUGCUUGGAAAUCAAUUUUGAUGCACCUGAUGGAACUCCUUCAUGACGUGUGCCAUAUGGAAUCUCGCUUCGGUCCAUUUGGAGAUAUUAUUAGUUUCAGUGCAAGAUAGGUGCACAGUUUGCACCUAAUGCACCAUAGUCUAAGAAACCAUUUUGGACACACUUGUUGGUACUCCUAGGUGAUGGGGCUCAAGUGGAUGCUCGGUUCGGUCUGUCUGGAGAUAGUGCUAAUCUUAAUGCAAGAUAGGUGCACGGUUUGCAUGGAACAUACCAAUUGCUUGGAAAUCAAUCUGGACGCACAUGAUGGAACUCCUAGAUGACAUGUGUCAUACGGAAUCUUGCUUCGGUCUGUUUGCAGACAGUGUUAGUUUUGAUGCAAGAUAGGUGCAAGGUUUGGACAUAAUGCAGCAUAGGCUAAGAAACCAUUUUGGACGCACCUGAUGGUACUCCUAGGUAAAAGGCUCAAGUGAAAGCUCGGUUUGGUCUAUUUGGAGAUAGUGCUAAUCUUGAUUCAAGAUAGAUGCACAGUCUGCAUGGAACGUACCAUAUGCUUAGAAAUUAAUUUGGACACACCGAUAGAACUCAUUGAUGAUGUGUGUCAUUUGGAAUCUCGCUUUGGUGUGCUUAGAGACAGUACUAGUUUUGGUGCAACAAAUGUGCACGGUUUACGCCUAAUGCACCAAAGUCUAAGAAACCGUUUUGGAAGCACCUGUUGGUACUCCUAGGUGAAGAGGCUCAAGUGGAGGCUGGGUUCGGUCUGUUUAGAGAUAGUGCUAAUCUUGAUGCAUGAUAAGUGCAUGAUUUGCCUGGAACAUACCAUAUGCUCAGAAAUCAAUUUGGACGCACCAGAUGGAACUCCUAGAUGACAUGUGUCAUAUGGAAUCCUACUUCAGUCCAUUUGGAGACAGUGUUAGUUUUGGUGCAAGAUAGGUGCAUGGUUUCCACCUAAUGCACCAUAGGAUAAGAAACCAUUUUGGAUGCACCCGAUGGUACUACUAGGUCAAGGUGCUCAAGUGAAAGCUCGGUUUGGUUUGUUUGGAGAUAGUGCUAAUCUAGAUGCAAGAUAGAUGCACCGUUUGCAUGGAACAUACGAUAUGCUCAGAAAUCAAUUAGGACGCACCUGAUAUAACUCCUUGAUGAUGUGUCAUAUGGAAUCUUGCUUCGGUUCGUUUAGAGACCGUGUUAGUUUUGGUAGAAGAUAUGUGCACGGUUUACGCCUAAUGCAACAUAGGCUAAGAAAUCAUUUUAAACGCACCCGAUGGUACUCAUAGUUGAAGAGGCUCAAGUGGAGACUCGAUUUGGUCUGUUCGGAUAUAGUGUUAAUCUUGAUGUAAGAUAGUUGUACAAUUUGCAUGGAACGUUCCAUAUGUUAAGAAAUCAAUUUGGACGCACCCAAUGGAACUCCUAGAUUACGUGUGUCAUAUGGAAUCUCGCUUCGGUCUGUUUGGAGACAAUGUUAGUUUCGGUGCAAGAUAGGUGCAUAGUUUGUGCCUAAUGCACCAUAGUCUAAGAAACCAUUUUUGACGCACCUGUUUGUACUCCUAGAUGAAGAGGCUCAAGUGGAAGCUCGUUUCAGUCUGUUUGGAGACAAUGUUAGUUUCGGUGCAAGAUAGGUGCAUAGUUUGUGCCUGAUGCACCAUAGUCUAAGAAGCUAUUUUUGACGCACCUGUUUGUACUCCUAGAUGAAGAGGCUCAAUAGGAAGCUCGGUUCGGUCUGUUUGGAGAUAGUGCUAAUCUUGAUGCAACAUAGGUGCACGGUUUGCAUGGAACAUACUAUAUGCUUGGAAAUCAAUUUGGAUGCACCUAAUGGAACUCCUUCAUGACGUGUGUCAUAUGGAAUCUCGCUUCAGUACAUUUGGAGAUAUUGUUAGUUUCAGUGCAAGAUAGGUGCACAGUGUGCACCUAAUGCACCAUAGUUUAAGAAACCAUUUUGGAUGCACUUGUUGGUACUCCUAGGUGAAGGGGCUCAAGUGGAUGCUCGGUUCAGUCUGUCUGGAGAUAGUGCUAAUCUUAAUACAAGAUAGGUGCACGGUUUGCAUGGAACAUACCAAAUGCUUGGAAAUCAAUUUGGACGCACAUGAUGGAACUCCUAGAUGACAUGUGUCAUACGAAAUCUUGCUUCGGUCUAUUUGGAGACAGUGCUAGUUUCGGUGCAAGAUAGGUGCAUAGUUUGUGCCUAAUACCCCACAGUCUAAGGAACUAUUUUUGACACACUUGUUUGUACUCCAAGAAGAAGAGGCUCAAGUGGAAGCUCGGUUUGGUCAGUUUGGAGAUAGUGCUAAUCUUGAUGCAAGAUAGAUGCACGGUUUGCAUGGAACAUACGAUAUGCUCAGAAAUCAAUUAGGACGCACCUGAUAUAACUCCUUGAUGAUGUGUAUCAUAUGUAAUCUUGCUUCGGUUUGUUUAGAGAGAGUGUUAGUUUUGGUAGAAGAUAUAUGCACGGUUUACGCCAAAUGCACCAUAGGCUAAGAAACCAUUUUAGACACGCCCGAUGGUACUCAUAGUUGAAGAGGCUCAAGUGGAGGCUCGAUUUGGUCUGUUCGGAUAUAGUGUUAAUCUUGGUGUAAGAUAGUUGCACAAUUUGCAUGGAACGUUCCAUAUGUUAAGAAAUCAAUUUAGACGCACCCAAUGGAACUCCUAGAUUACGUGUGUCAUAUGGAAUCUCGCUUCCGUCUGUUUGGAGACAAUGUUAGUUUCAAUGCAAGAUAGGUGCAUAGUUUGUGCCUAAUGCACCAUAGUCUAAGAAACCAUUUUUGACACGCCUGUUUGUACUCCUAGAUGAAGAGGCUCAAGUGGAGGCUCAGUUUGGUCUGUUUGGAGAUAGUGCUAAUCUUGUUGCAAGAUAGAUGCACGGUUUGCAUGGAACAUACCAUUUGCUUGGAAAUCAAUUUAGAUGCACCCGAUGGAACUCCUUGAUGACGUGUGUCAUAUGGAAUCUCACUUUGGUCUAUUUAGAAAUAGUGUUAGUUUCAGUAUAAGAUAUGUGUAUGGUUUGCUCCUAAUGCACCAUAGUCUAUGAAACCAUUUUGGAAGCACCUGUUGGUACUUCGAUGAAGAGGCUCAUGUGGAAGCUCGGUUUGAUAUGUUUGGAGAUAGUGCUAAUCUUGAUGCAAUAUAGGUGCAUGAUUUGCAAGGAACAUAGCAUAUGCUUAGAAAUCAAUUUGGACGCACCAAAUGGAACUCCUAGAUGACGUGUGUCAUAUGGAAUCUUGCUUCGGUCCGUUUGCAAACAUUGUAAGUUUUAGUGCAAGAUAGUGCUAAUCCUUAUGCAAGGUAGGUGCAUGGUUUGCAUGGAACAUACCAUAUUCUUGGAAAUCAAUUUGGAUGCACCCGAUGGAACUCCGUGACAACGUGUGUCAUACGGAAUCUCGCUUCGGUCCAUUUGGAGACAUUGUUAGUUUUGGUGCAAGAUAGGUGCACAGUUUGCACCUAAUGCACCAUAGUCUAAGAAAACAUUUUGGACGCACUUGUUGGUACUCCUAGGUGAAGGGGCUCAAGUGGAUGCUCGGCUCGGUCUGUUUACAGAUUGUGCUAAUCUUGAUGCAAGAUAGUUGCACAGUUUGCAUGCAACGUACCAUAUGUUAAGAAAUCAAUUUGGACGCACCCAAUGGAACUCCUAGAUUACGUGUGUCAUAUGGAAUCUCGCUUCGGUCUGUUUGGAGACAAUGUUAGUUUCGGUGCAAGAUAGGUGCAUAGUUUGUGCCUAAUGCACCAUAGUCUAAGAAACCAUUUUUGACGCACCUGUUUGUACUCCUAGAUGAAGAGGCUCAAGUGGAAGCUCGUUUCAGUCUGUUUGGAGACAAUGUUAGUUUCGGUGCAAGAUAGGUGCAUAGUUUGUGCCUGAUGCACCAUAGUCUAAGAAACUAUUUUUGACGCACCUGUUUGUACUCCUAGAUGAAGAGGCUCAAUAGGAAGCUCGGUUCGGUCUGUUUGGAGAUAGUGCUAAUCUUGAUGCAACAUAGGUGCACGGUUUGCAUGGAACAUACUAUAUGCUUGGAAAUCAAUUUGGAUGCACCUGAUGGAACUCCUUCAUGACGUGUGUCAUAUGGAAUCUCGCUUCAGUACAUUUGGAGAUAUUGUUAGUUUCAGUGCAAGAUAGGUGCACAGUGUGCACCUAAUGCACCAUAGUCUAAGAAACCAUUUUGGACGCACUUGUUGGUACUCCUAGGUGAAGGGGCUCAAGUGGAUGCUCGGUUUGGUCUGUCUAGAGAUACUGCUAAUCAUAAUAUAAGAUAGGUGCACGGUUUGCAUGGAACAUACCAAAUGCUUGGAAAUCAAUCUGGACGCACAUGAUGGAACUCCUAGAUGACAUGUGUCAUACGAAAUCUUGCUUCGGUCUGUUUGGAGACAGUGCUAGUUUCGGUGCAAGAUAGGUGCAUAGUUUGUGCCUAAUACCCCACAGUCUAAGGAACUAUUUUUGACACACUUGUUUGUACUCCUAGAUGAAGAGGCUCAAGUGGAAGCUCGGUUUGGUCAGUUUGGAGAUAGUGCUAAUCUUGAUGCAAGAUAGAUGCACAGUUUGCAUGGAACAUACGAUAUGCUUAGAAAUCAAUUAGGACGCACCUGAUAUAACUCCUUGAUGAUGUGUAUCAUAUGUAAUCUUGCUUCGGUUUGUUUAGAGAGAGUGUUAGUUUUGGUAGAAGAUAUAUGCACGGUUUACGCCAAAUGCACCAUAGGCUAAGAAACCAUUUUAGACGCGCCCGAUGGUACUCAUAGUUGAAGAGGCUCAAGUGGAGGCUCGAUUUGGUCUGUUCGGAUAUAGUGUUAAUCUUGAUGUAAGAUAGUUGCACAAUUUGCAUGGAACGUUCCAUAUGUUAAGAAAUCAAUUUGGACGCAUCCAAUGGAACUCCUAGAUUACGUAUGUCAUAUGGAAUCUCGCCUCAGUCUGUUUGGAGACAAUGUUAGUUUCAGUGCAAGAUAGGUGCAUAGUUUGUGCCUAAUGCACCAUAGUCUAAGAAACCAUUUUUGACACACCUGUUUGUACUCCUAGAUGAAGAGGCUCAAGUGGAAGCUCAGUUUGGUCUGUUUGGAGAUAGUGCUAAUCUUGAUGCAAGAUAGAUGCACGGUUUGCAUGGAACAUACCAUUUGCUUGGAAAUCAAUUUAGAUGCACCCGAUGGAACUCCUUGAUGACGUGUGUCAUAUGGAAUCUCACUUUGGUCUAUUUAGAAAUAGUGUUAGUUUCAGUAUAAGAUAUGUGCAUGGUUUGCUCCUAAUGCACCAUAGUCUAUGAAACCAUUUUGGAAGCACCUGUUGGUACUUCGAUGAAGAGGCUCAUGUGGAAGCUCGGUUUGAUAUGUUUGUAGAUAGUGCUAAUCUUGAUGCAAUAUAGGUGCAUGAUUUGCAAGGAACAUAGCAUAUGCUUAGAAAUCAAUUUGGACGCACCAAAUGGAACUCCUAGAUGACGUGUGUCAUAUGGAAUCUUGCUUCGGUCCAUUUGCAGACAUUGUAAGUUUUAGUGCAAGAUAGUGCUAAUCCUUAUGCAAGGUAGGUGCAUUGUUUGCAUGGAACAUACCAUAUGCUUGGAAAUCAAUUUGGAUGCACCCGAUGGAACUCCGUGACAACGUGUGUCAUACGGAAUCUCGCUUCGGUCCAUUUGGAGACAUUGUUAGUUUUGGUGCAAGAUAGGUGCACAGUUUGCACCUAAUGCACCAUAGUCUAAGAAAACAUUUUGGACGCACUUGUUGGUACUCCUAGGUGAAGGGGCUCAAGUGGAUGCUCGGCUCAGUCUGUUUACAGAUUGUGCUAAUCUUGAUGCAAGAUAGUUGCACAGUUUGCAUGCAACGUACCAUAUGUUAAGAAAUCAAUUUGGACGCACCCAAUAGAACUCCUAGAUGACGUGUGUCAUAAGGAAUCUCGUUUCUGUCUGUUAGGAGACAAUGUUAGUUUCGGUGCAAGAUAGGUGCAUAGUUUGUGCCUAAUGCACCAUAGUCUAAGAAACCAUUUUUUACACACCUGUUUGUACUCCUAGAUGAAGAGGCUCAAGUGGAAGCUCGGUUCAGUCUGUUUGGAGAUAGUGCUAAUGUUGAUGCAAGAUAGGUGCAUGGUUUGCAUGGAACAUACCAUAUGCUUGGAAAUCAAAUUGGAUGCACCUGAUGGAACUCUUUGAUGACGUGUGUCAUAUGGAAUCUCACUUUGGUCUGUUUAGAAAUAGUGUUAGUUUCGGUGCAAGAUAUGUGCAUGGUUUGCGCCUAAUGCACCAUAGUCUAAGAAACAAUUUUGGAAGCACCUGUUGGUACUUCGGUGAAGAGGCUCAAGUGGAAGCUUGGUUUUGAUAUGUUUGGAGAUAGUGCUUGUAACACCCCAGUGUUAUGGUUGCAUUAAUCAUGUGCAUAGCAUGAGCAUCAUCAUCUACUCAAGCAUGUCAUAAUCAUCAUCUACCUUGAGUCAUACCUUUCUAUGCAAAAAGGUGAUUUAAAUUUCUUAAAUAGGCUCCCUAUGCUUAUGUUUGAGUGAACCAUGCUUGUGUUUGUGCUCUAUGCCUUGGUAAUUAGUUUAUCUAUGUUUAACUUAACCUUGGGAACAAUGUUCAUAUUGAUCACUUCUCCAAAAUAAUCACUUAAGGCAUACUUAUACAAAUAGGCUCUAGAAACCUCUUUUGCUUAGGAUUUUAAAAAGUGUUUCAUAAAAUGUUUGCAUGUCAAAACUUUCUACAGAAAAGUUGUAGCAAAUUUUAUAAGGAACAAAAGUUGUUUUAUGGCCAUCUCAUGAAAAUGAUCACAUCUAGCUCAAAAGUGUCCCACAAGGCAGAAUUGGGGCUGUUUCCAACACUUAGAGAAAUUUUCUAAGUAUGGGGACGCUACUGUUUGCUUGAUCGAUUUUGGGAAUCUCAUAUCUUUCGACCCAGGCCGAUUUGGCUUUUGCUCCAAUUGACAUUGUUGUAGAACUCAGUUGGUACUCCAACUUUGUCAACUACACCAUCUCCUAACUUGCUCUGGCUUGGAAGUUAAUCAUCGGCGAAGUUGCUCUGCCAGUCGGUGAUCGCGAGGUUUGGUUCAGAGCCGAGCUCGCCGUCGUGGAUGUCCCGAGCGACACCUGUCCGCCAGAUGGUGCCCGUACGCCGGAGAUGGCCCCGCUCGUCAGCUCCCAGCGUGUGCAUGACCUCCAAGGCGACGCCCCGGACACAGUGGACGCGUCCACUCUCUCCUUCCACUCACUCUCUCGCUAGAAACGCGGCCGCAGUGAGCUCACCGUCGCGAGCUCACUCCGGCGAGCUCGUGCGCGUUCCUUGCUGCGCCAUUGCCCACCAAACUUCACCCAAAGCUUCGCCGUGAACCGCUCUCCAUUCUCCACCCAUCAUCUCGCCGUGAAAUCCACCGGUGAGCCGCCAUUUCCUUCUUUCCCCAAAUCGGGUCGCCGCGAUCUUCUUCUCCGGCGAUCUCAAUGCCGCGCUCCUCAGAGCCUCUCGUCUUCUCUGGUUAGGUCCUAGAGGUUGCUUAGGUUCCUAGCAAGUGUUUGCGCCACUUGGUGGACGCUCUACCGCACUCACCGUCGCCGGACACGACGCGCAGCGCCGCUGUGUUUCCGCCGGAGAUGGGCGCUCUCGUGGCCAGCGUGUUCCACGAUGUUUUAAGCCAAGCCGCGUACCUAGGAAGCAUCGCCGUAGUCCGCUGGUGCUGUAGGGAACCCUAGGUCACGCUCUACUGGCCUGAGGACUCCGGCGUAACACCGAGCACCUCCGCCGAGCCGCCAUGAUCGACGGCGAGCCUCUUCCGGUGGCUCCGCCGUGGGGAAAAGGGGAUCAAUCGAGUCGCUAGAGUCUGGGGAUCACAACGGUGCCCUUGGUUUGGCUGGAGACCUCGCCGUCGUGGAGAAAUCGCCGGCGAGAGUCGCCUCGGCGGUGAGGAAGAUGACCCUGACAUGCGGGGUCCACUGUCAGUGUCACCUCACUUCCCUCCUUUUCUUUUAUUCAAAUCCAGAUUUUUGGCUUUCUUGCAAAAAUCAUAUCUCCUGUUUCUGAGAUCCAAAAAUUGUGAAACCAAUUUUGCGAUGUUCCUUGUGAUGGCUAGUUUUUAUUAAAAAUAUAAAAUGAACCAUGUUUUCUGGGAAAAUAUUUAUUAAGGAUUUAAUCUUGUUAUUUAUGGAUAAAUUCAUAUCUCUGGUUAUACUGUUUAGUUUGCCAUGACAAUUUUAUGGUAGUCUCUGCGUGGUAUUAGAGUGCUUUGAUAAAUAUUUCAUGAUUUUUGGAGUACCUAAGCUUUGAUAUGUAAUUUAUGUUGGAGAUAUGGCUUGCUUUCUUAUUUAAAUCAUAUAAAAUAAUUGGUACCUAUGCUGGUGCUCUACCUUGGUAGUAAACUUGUUUAUGGUAUUCUUAAUAUGUAAAUAAUCUGAAAUCUGCUGUUUGACACCAUGUAAGUUAUGUUUCUAAAUUUAUAAAAUAAACACCUUGUCAUAUGUUAAAUACAUAUCUUUAAUUUGGUAUGUGCAAUUGCUCUGAAAUGUUUAUGGUGAUGCUUUGGUGCUAUACUUGUGCCUCUGUAAUUUUUGUAGAUUUUUCUGAGCACUUUUGCUAGUAUCUUGUAAUUAUGCUCCUCUCUAGAAUUAAUUUAAUAAAUGCUUUGUUAAUAAACAUUUGGAGGUUAACACAUGAUGAUCUGGUAACCUUGUGAUAUGCUUGUAUUUAUAAGUUAAGUGGUUGACACUGUUUAUGCUUUGGCUAUAUCAUUAAAUAAUUAAUUGGUGGGUUAAAAGCUGUUCUGGACAGCAAGGGAGUAAUUUAACUUUUGCUUAAUGAUAACUUGGUUUUCUGGGCAACUUGUCUAAAUCAAGGUUGUUGUAAACUUAUUGGACUAGCUAUGGUUUAAAUUUGGGAUCAAUUGGUCCAGUAGUUUAAAAGUUAUGGCUGUUCCAAGUUGGGUUCCAGAAAUAGGUGCUCUCUGUUUUUCUGGGACAGAACCUGGAAAUUUGUUUAAAUGACUUGUUUAAUCUUUGAAUCUUGCUGUAAUGUUUAAAGAUGAUUUGUAGACAAAUUCUUAAGCUUUCCAGAAUGUCUUCACCCAUGUUUGUUGGAUCUGCCUAGCUCUAGUUAUGAUCUGUUUACUGAGCUAAUCCUGCUAUAUGAUGCUUGCUGUUAUAGGUUAUCAUGAUAGGUUUUGGGCUAAGUUAACUUAUUAUCUGGUGUGAACUUGUUAUAACUUUUGCUCUGUAAAUGAGUGUCCAGUGGGUCACUUAUGUUAUCAAGCAUUCAUUCUUUUGUAUGCACACCUUCUCAUUCACCGAGCAUGCAAUAGGUGCAUCGGACGUGGCAGCCUCCUUCGAACUGCAAGUGAACCCCGAAGGCCAGGAGGGCAGCCAGGAGGUUGAGGUCCAGCAAGUCGGACUCGAGGAGCCCGAAGAAGAAGUUGAGUGCCCAAACCACGAGCCAGCCUCGUUCGUGAAAGGCAAGCCCCGGAGCAUUCUGAGUCUCCCUUUACUUUCGAAAGUUUACUUAAUAUGUUAUACCUAUUGAUGCAUUAAGUAUAGGAGUUGUGAUGAAACCUUUGCUGUAUUUUACUCCAUCCUUGUCAAAAUAACUUACCCUACCCUGGUUGUAGAGUUAGGAUCGAGUAGCAGCUUAGCCAUGCUUAAUCGGUAGAAGUCAGGUGAUUUCAUGUCACCUGCGCGAUAUAGGGUUGUGUCGGAUCACGAUGGUCUAUAUGUGCUAUCGUGGAUGGAACCUGAUUAAUUUGACUUAAGCCGGGCAGAGUUUUGCAAGGUUGUAGUAACUCCGUCUGUGGCAGCUAAGGACCGAUUGUUGUACGUCUUCUUGUCAUGUUGAACGCAUGCCUGACACUUAGUUGGCCAGAUAACACGUUCCGACCGCGAAGCCGAGUAGUAUGACUCAGGCCGGAAGACCGGCAAGUAUAAAGUGCGCACUACCGGAGGAAGUGCGGUGUGCGGGGGACCAUUGGCGUAAGCCUAAAGGCAGGUGAGUUAAAAUUCCUGACCUCCCUGGCAGAGUGGUAGCCCUGGGAGUGCGGCGCUGAUCGGAGCCGCGAUUCCUGAGUCGUACCAAAGGUGACCCGUUGGCUCUCCGACGGGGGAUGCUUGGGUGAGUGCUAGGAAUAACCCUACAGCUGGAUAGGAAUUCGAUUCGAAUCGCCGUCUCUCCCGGUCAGUGAGAACUUGACAGAGCAGCGGCAAACGUAGCAUUCACUAAUGAACUUGGUUCAUGAUAAUGAUGAUAGCAAGGAAGAACAUAUGAUGAACUUGAUAUGGUUAUUAUUGCUUGUAAUAAUCAAGUGAAGUGCUUAGUACAGGUGCUAAUCUAGUAGUAGGAUAAUGGUAAAUAAAUAUGAUGCUCUUACAAUAGGUUAGUCAUAAUAAAGGCUUUUGGCAAAAUGUCGAGUCAACCAGCUCUGCUUUUAUAUAUUAGCCUUGCAUGAUCCUUGGUGUCUUUUAUGUUUUACUAGACGGGUAAGUCUAGCUGAGUACAUUCUCGUACUCAGGGUUUUAUUCCCACCUGUUGCAGAUGACAUCUUUUAUGACGGUUUCUACAAGACCUGUCUCCAUCCUGCUGGGGAUGAGGACUAACCGUUGGGCACGGUUCUCUAACAACCUCGUACCUGUUGCUUUUGGAAGGAUGAUGUAGACUCUGGCAGUAACUCGAACUUAUGAACUGAACUUUGGAAAGUGUGUGUAAAUAUUUUGCUUCCGCUACUUCGAACAAGUGUUGUAAUAACUUAAUACUCCGAUGUGGUGCCGCUUCGACGGCAAUGAAUGACUAUGUAACAUUCGCUGUAUUUAUGUUGAACUAUUACGAUCUUGGAUUGUUGCGAGUUGGUUUGAAAUCCUUCGUGAUUUCAGUUGACUACCGGGAUUAUAUGGGCUCAAGUUUGGAAACUUGAUUGCUUGUCGAUCGUUUCUACACUUGAACUCUUAUAAUUUGGUCGGUUCUGUGACAGCGCUAAUCUUGAUGCAAGAUAGGUGCAUGAUUUGCAAGGAACAUACCAUAUGCUUAGAAAUCAAUCUGGACACAAAUGAUGGAACUCCUAGAUGACGUGUGUCAUACAAAAUCUUGCUUUGGUCUGCUUGGAGACAGUGUUAGUUUCGGUGCAAGAUAGGUGCAAAGUUUGCACAUAAUGUAGCAUAGGCUAAGAAACCAUUUUGGACGCACCCGAUGGUACUCCUAGGUAAAAGGCUCAAGUGAAAGCUCGGUUUGGUCUAUUUGGAGAUAGUGCUAAUCUUGAUGCAAGAUAGAUGCACAGUCUCUAUGGAACGUACCAUAUGCUUAGAAAUUAACUUGGACACACCCGAUGGAACUCCAUGAUGACGUGUGCCAUAUGGAAUCUCGCUUUGGUGUGCUUAGAGAUAGUAUUAGUUUCGAUGCAAGAAAUAUGCACGGUUUGCGCCUAAUGCACCAAAGUCUAAGAAACCACUUUGGAAGCACCUGUUGGUACUCCUAGGUGAAGAGGCUCAAGUGGAGGCUCGGUUCGGUCUGUUUAGAGAUAGUGCUAAUCUUGAUGGAAGAUAGGUGCAUGAUUUGCAUGGAACAUACCAUAUGCUCAGAAAUCAAUUUGGACGCACCAGAUGGAACUCCUAGAUGAGAUGUGCCAUAUGGAAUCUCACUUCAGUCCGUUUAGAGAUAGUGUUAUUUUUGGUGCAAGAUAGGUGCACAGUUUGCACAUACCAUAGGAUAAGAAACCAUUUUGAAAGCUCAAUUUGGUCUGUUUGGAGAUAGUGUCAAUCUUGAUGCAAGAUAGAUGCACGGUGUGCUUGGAACAUACGAUAUGCUUAAAUACCAAUUAGGACGCACCUGAUAUAACUCCUUGAUGAUUUGUGUCAUAUGGAAUCUUGCUUCGGUUUGUUUAGAGACAGUGUUAGUUUUGGUAGAAGAUAUGUGCACGAUUAACGCCUAAUGCACCAUAGGCUAAGAAACCAUUUUAGACGCACCCGAUGGUACUCGUAGUUGAAGAGGCUCAAGUGGAGGCUCGAUUUGGUCUGUUCGGAUAUAGUGCUAAUCUUGAUGCAAGAUAGUUGCACAGUUUGAAUGCAACGUACCAUAUGUUAAGAAAUCAAUUUGGACGCACCCAAUGGAACUCCUAGAUGGCGUGUGUCAUAUGGAAUCUCGAUUCGGUCUGUUUGGAGACAAUGUUAGUUUCGGUGCAAGAUAGGUGCAUAGUUUGUGCCUAAUGCAACAUAGUCUAAGAAACCAUUUUUGACACACCUGUUUGUACUCCUAGAUGAAGAGGCUCAAGUGGAAACUCGGUUCGGUCUGUUUGGAUAUAGUGCUAAUCUUGAUGCAACAUAGGUGCACGGUUUGUAUGAAACAUACCAUAUGGUUGGAAAUCAAUUUGGAUGCACCAGAUGGAACUCCUUGAAGACGUGUGUCAUAUGGAAUCUCAAUUUGGUUUGUUUAGAAACAGUGUUAGUUUCGGUGCAAGAUAUGUGCAUGGAUUGCGCCUAAUGCACCAUAUUCUAAGAAACCAUUUUGGAAGCACCUGUUGGUACUUCGGUGAAGAGGCUCAAGUGGAAGCUCGGUUUGCUCUGUUUGGAGAUAGUGCUAAUCUCGAUGGAAGAUAGGUGCAUGAUUUGCAAGGAACAUACCAUAUGUAUAGAAAUCAAUUUGGACGCACCCAAUGGAACUCCUAGAUGACGUGUGUCAUAUAGAAUCUUGCUUCGGUCCGUUUGUAGACUUUGUAAGUUUUACUGCAAGAUAGGUGCACACUUUGCGCCUAAUGCACCAUAGUCUAAGAAACCAUUUUGGACGCACUAUUUGGUACUCCUGGGUGAAGAGGCUCAAGCGGAAUCUUGGUUCGGUCAGUUUGGAGAUAGUGCUAAUCCUUCUGCAAGGUAGGUGCAUGGUUUGUAUGGAACAUACCAUAUGCUUGGAAAUCAAUUUGGAUGCACCCGAUGGAACUCCUUGAUGACGUGUAUCAUAUGGAAUCUUGCUUCGGUCCAUUUGGAGACAUUGUUAGUUUCGGUGCAAGAUAGGUGCACAGUUUGCUCUCACAUGGAAAUGAUGAAUAGUUGCUCUGCCAUGACUAGUUCUCAAAAUUGAAAUCUCUCUCAAGUUUAGGCAUGACUGUGAUUAAUUAAGAUUUGCUCUAAACCUGAACUUGUGGGGAGAGUACUUGAUCUAAAGUCUAAGUCGUUAACGGAUACGAUAUGGGAAGGUUGAGCUGCUGUUUAUCUGUUCCUAGAGAUGCUAGAAUUUUGGAGAAUUUUAUCUUUGAAAAUCUUUAAAAUAACACAUGAUGAGUUCCUGUAUGAUGAGAGUUUAAAUUCCUACCACAGCUAUAUAUACAUGCUUGCUAGACUUUGAGCCACACAUUUAUUUUUUUACUGCUUAUGAGCAUUGAGUGUGGUAAAGCUGUGUAGACUCUUAGGAGCUUGUCAUGUGGUUAAAUCAUGAUUCACUUGCACAUUCACUCAUACAUGCUGCUUCUACUCUGGAAGUACGCAUCCACAUACAUCCACUCAAUUCCAUCUUCAGAUUCACCCGAAAAUAUUCUACUCCUAAUCUGGGAGAGAAUAGCCAAAAAACAUUCUCCUAUUCCUGUUUUUCCCUGUGAAAUAAAUGCUCAAGAUAUUUUGGUUACUACCACUUGCUAUAUUAUUCUAGGAGGAUGAGUGCUCUAAAAAAAAGUGAAUACGAGGAAAUAAAAAGGGGCAAGUGCCCGGAACCUCGAAGAAAAGAAAAAGUGGGACGAGAGGUAAAAAUGGACAAGUGUCCGACAGUAGAAUUAGGGGUACAAGAUACCCACCUGAGAGAAAAGAAAAAAAAAGAGAAAAUAUAGAGCAUCUCAAAAAGCUUCAAAGUGCAAGAAAGGUAUGUAUCCCCUCAAAAGAGCAAACGUAGAAUUAGACUUUCACCAUUAUUAUCACCAUCAUCACCAUACACCUUUUAUUCGCCACACAUGCACAUCUUGAUUUGACUUAUUGACUUGUUCUUCUGGAUCCAUGAUUUGACUAUGCAAUAAAUGUCUUGUAAGUAUGUAUUAGCUGUCUCCCUCCUUUGAGCUCCAGAUAUCAAAACCUUAUUAGAGUAGGGUGAGAGAGAAGGCAAUGCCACUAUGCCUCAUAACAAAAAUACCACAUACUUUGAGAGAAGGCAUAUACCAUUACUGCCUUGGUAAGGAUCCAAAAAUACCACAAAAGAGAGACUAGAGAGAGUCAUACAAGAAAUCUCUGAGUUUUAUUUGAAAAUCUACAAAAACUCCAGAGCUAUAGCUGAUCAAGAAUAAGAGACAUGGUGCUUGACUAGACCGUUCUAUCUUUUAACU